CUUCCAAUAAGUACAAAAUAAUAAAAUUACAAGUCACGACAAUAGCACAACUUUAAGUUUUAAUACUAGCUGUUUGAUAUUUACAAGUGGAGCAAACAUGACUAAUUUUUUUUAUAGUUGGAGCCUUAGACAUUAUAGGGACAAAAGUUGACAUCUCCAUUUGGUAUAGCAUUGUAUAGACCUUCAAUAUUUCUCUAACUUUAUACAAACUUACACAAGAAAUUAUUUUUAAAACAAGAAUGAUCGAUAUUUUCCCUUUGCCUUUCAUUGCUUUUUUUCAUUUUCAAGCGCUUUCAACUAACUUCUUAUGGUCAGCUAGAUAACAAAUUAAAUCCAUAACAUAUCCUUGAUGGCCAUAACUGCAAUUAACAUAAAAAUUGUAAAUUUUUUAUUAAAUAUCAAAUUUUGUACAUUAUUGAUAAUAAGAUGUAUAUCGUUAUGGUUUGUAGAAAACAAUAUGUAAAACGUUCUGGACGGAAAAAAUGAAAUACAUGUUUCAUAGUAAAACAACAAAUAGAAUCGCCAAACAUCUGUUUACCAAAAUAUUCACUUAAAAAAUAAGAGCUAAUGACAAACUGGGAAAGGAACCCAUAUCCAAGCUAUAAUUCGAUGAUAUAAAAAAAAAUUAAAUAAAAAAAUCAAAGCCAUUACUAACAAAUUAACAACAUAAACACGAAUCACAACAUGUGGUUCAAAAAAUUUGAGAAAGAAAGUAGCCAAAAUAUUGAAAUUUAACAUUACAUUCUCUUCCUUCUUCAAAUACCCAUCAAGAAUAUUAUAGACUUUCAUUACUUACUUCAACCGAGUGAGUGUUUAAGAGAAUGACAAUAGUAUAUUUUGGGAAUGACAAUAGUAUAUUUUGGAAUUUCAUGAAGAAAAAGAUGAUGAUAAAAAGAAGAAGAAUAACAGAGAAUGGCCUAUCAACUUGUGGAAGAAAGGAAGUCAAAAUUGAAUUAGGACUAAAUGGAAAUUGAAAGGGGAAUUGGGACAUUAUGUCUUUCCCAUACAAGGAUAUUUUAGUAAUUUCAANNNNNNNNNNNNNNNNNNNNNNNNNNNNNNNNNNNNNNNNNNNNNNNNNNNNNNNNNNNNNNNNNNNNNNNNNNNNNNNNNNNNNNNNNNNNNNNNNNNNNNNNNNNNNNNNNNNNNNNNNNNNNNNNNNNNNNNNNNNNNNNNNNNNNNNNNNNNNNNNNNNNNNNNNNNNNNNNNNNNNNNNNNNNNNNNNNNNNNNNNNNNNNNNNNNNNNNNNNNNNNNNNNNNNNNNNNNNNNNNNNNNNNNNNNNNNNNNNNNNNNNNNNNNNNNNNNNNNNNNNNNNNNNNNNNNNNNNNNNNNNNNNNNNNNNNNNNNNNNNNNNNNNNNNNNNNNNNNNNNNNNNNNNNNNNNNNNNNNNNNNNNNNNNNNNNNNNNNNNNNNNNNNNNNNNNNNNNNNNNNNNNNNNNNNNNNNNNNNNNNNNNNNNNNNNNNNNNNNNNNNNNNNNNNNNNNNNNNNNNNNNNNNNNNNNNNNNNNNNNNNNNNNNNNNNNNNNNNNNNNNNNNNNNNNNNNNNNNNNNNNNNNNNNNNNNNNNNNNNNNNNNNNNNNNNNNNNNNNNNNNNNNNNNNNNNNNNNNNNNNNNNNNNNNNNNNNNNNNNNNNNNNNNNNNNNNNNNNNNNNNNNNNNNNNNNNNNNNNNNNNNNNNNNNNNNNNNNNNNNNNNNNNNNNNNNNNNNNNNNNNNNNNNNNNNNNNNNNNNNNNNNNNNNNNNNNNNNNNNNNNNNNNNNNNNNNNNNNNNNNNNNNNNNNNNNNNNNNNNNNNNNNNNNNNNNNNNNNNNNNNNNNNNNNNNNNNNNNNNNNNNNNNNNNNNNNNNNNNNNNNNNNNNNNNNNNNNNNNNNNNNNNNNNNNNNNNNNNNNNNNNNNNNNNNNNNNNNNNNNNNNNNNNNNNNNNNNNNNNNNNNNNNNNNNNNNNNNNNNNNNNNNNNNNNNNNNNNNNNNNNNNNNNNNNNNNNNNNNNNNNNNNNNNNNNNNNNNNNNNNNNNNNNNNNNNNNNNNNNNNNNNNNNNNNNNNNNNNNNNNNNNNNNNNNNNNNNNNNNNNNNNNNNNNNNNNNNNNNNNNNNNNNNNNNNNNNNNNNNNNNNNNNNNNNNNNNNNNNNNNNNNNNNNNNNNNNNNNNNNNNNNNNNNNNNNNNNNNNNNNNNNNNNNNNNNNNNNNNNNNNNNNNNNNNNNNNNNNNNNNNNNNNNNNNNNNNNNNNNNNNNNNNNNNNNNNNNNNNNNNNNNNNNNNNNNNNNNNNNNNNNNNNNNNNNNNNNNNNNNNNNNNNNNNNNNNNNNNNNNNNNNNNNNNNNNNNNNNNNNNNNNNNNNNNNNNNNNNNNNNNNNNNNNNNNNNNNNNNNNNNNNNNNNNNNNNNNNNNNNNNNNNNNNNNNNNNNNNNNNNNNNNNNNNNNNNNNNNNNNNNNNNNNNNNNNNNNNNNNNNNNNNNNNNNNNNNNNNNNNNNNNNNNNNNNNNNNNNNNNNNNNNNNNNNNNNNNNNNNNNNNNNNNNNNNNNNNNNNNNNNNNNNNNNNNNNNNNNNNNNNNNNNNNNNNNNNNNNNNNNNNNNNNNNNNNNNNNNNNNNNNNNNNNNNNNNNNNNNNNNNNNNNNNNNNNNNNNNNNNNNNNNNNNNNNNNNNNNNNNNNNNNNNNNNNNNNNNNNNNNNNNNNNNNNNNNNNNNNNNNNNNNNNNNNNNNNNNNNNNNNNNNNNNNNNNNNNNNNNNNNNNNNNNNNNNNNNNNNNNNNNNNNNNNNNNNNNNNNNNNNNNNNNNNNNNNNNNNNNNNNNNNNNNNNNNNNNNNNNNNNNNNNNNNNNNNNNNNNNNNNNNNNNNNNNNNNNNNNNNNNNNNNNNNNNNNNNNNNNNNNNNNNNNNNNNNNNNNNNNNNNNNNNNNNNNNNNNNNNNNNNNNNNNNNNNNNNNNNNNNNNNNNNNNNNNNNNNNNNNNNNNNNNNNNNNNNNNNNNNNNNNNNNNNNNNNNNNNNNNNNNNNNNNNNNNNNNNNNNNNNNNNNNNNNNNNNNNNNNNNNNNNNNNNNNNNNNNNNNNNNNNNNNNNAAAAAAAUAUUUUUUGAUAAUGAUUGUCAAACGGGGGCUAAAUAUUAGGAAGUAGUUAAAAGCAUCAAGAACAUAGGCUUUAGGGUUAAUUUUAGUACUUGAAGAGAAUCUCCAAAUCGGGUUCCUUUUUGUUCCUUUCGAUAGAAGUUGAAAACUUGAAAUAAAAAAUUUGGUAAGUCACUCGACCCGCACCGGUAAUCGCGAGGAUGAUUGCGUCCUCACAUGGGAUGCGUGGGUCUCAAGUGAAUAAAAAAAUAUUGACCCCUCAUGUGUAUGGUGUGUCAAUUCCGAGAUCAUUCUGUUGGCGCUGUAGCAUCAAUCAAACACUUGAUUGCUAGCUGACAGAUGUCCUCGGAUGAAAGAUUGGAUUUUUUUAUGUCAACCUCAAAAGAAAUGAGAUAAGGUUGAAAGCUACAAUACUAACUAUUUCUAAGUAUCAUAAUUAUGUUGUUAGUUGCACGAUAGCAACUUUAACACGUAAUAAGUUUCAAACAGUAAUGAGUGAUGAGAGACAAAACUAUAACUUCGUUUGUACUAUGAUUAAGUGCACUUGCUACGCAACAGAAUAAGGUCACUAGAAAAAUCAUGAGCGGAUUAAUAUCCUCUAGUCACAGACCUAUAGGACAAAGUUAAACUCAUUCAAAAAAUUAUUAUUUUAUCGACUCAAAUGAGAAAAUAUUAAACAAAGCCAGACAUACACGAUCUUAAUUUAAACAGGUAGUGAUACCUUUUACGGAUAUAAAGUACGAAAGAUUUAGAAUAUGUGUAGUAACACGCGAUUAGUUUGCUUUUUGAAAUACUCCUUUAGUUUACACUACUAACGCGGUCGUCAGAGUGUUCUAGAUGAGAAAUUAAGUUACUGUCGAGCUAAUUUUGACCGUCUAUAUCAUUGAUAUUAAACUUAGAACAUGUCGAUCUAAUGCUAAAUAGUGGACAAGUACACUUUCAUAUCAAGAAAGUUGUACAUUAAACGUGGUUUAUAUGAUCUCUAAAAGAUUGGUGUUUUCCCCCAAAUACUGGAGUUUGGUAAAUAUGGUUAACAUAUUAACUAUUUCUACAUAUUUUGGAAUGUUUGUUGACAGUUGAAAAAAACAAUAUUACCAGAAUGUUAUAAAGAAAAAGGAAAGAAAGAAAAAAAAAAGUUUUAAAGAUAAAAAAUUCUUAAUUUACUCCUCUUCUCGUCUCUUAUUAUGCACAUUUUGCAUAUUUGCUGCCAUAUGAGUCAAAGUUGGCCCGGGUUAGAGUUAUUCUGAGCCACUGCCCGCUUCAGCAACAAAAGUGGCAUAUUUUGUUGAUACAAGUCAAAGUCAUUUUAAAAUAGAUUUCUUCACUGACCUUGGUAGUGGGUAGGGCACUUUAGUCAGGGUUGGAUCUAGGGACGGGGUCGGCUGGCCUACAACUUGUUCUUCCAGCCCAGAUGUUAAUUAAAAAAUUAAGUAAUUUUUUUUUUCUGCGUAUUAGUCCGUCCUGAAUUUUUUUCUGGAUCCACCCUACGAAUAGCCCAUGCUCAUGAUACCUGGUUUUCUUCGCUAUUUGUUAUUAAAGAGAACAAUUAAGAUAAAUAUAGUGUAGAUAAUUAUUUUAUGUUCUACAUAGUAUCAAAGAUUCGAUCCAAAAAAAGGAAACCAUGUCCAAGUCUACCACUUAUGCAAUACCAACCUUUGUUUCCACCCUUUUCCCUCUUAAACUGUGUCAGGACUCUUAUCUCCUCUUUCUAUUUAAUCAAUCACAAAAUUUACAACUGAAUCACCAUCGGUUAUUUGUUCAAACCACUCAGUCUUGCGAUGCCUCAAAUCAUUGACCAUAUAAAGAAUUCUGCUAAUUUUGUCCAUUAUUGCUCAAAGGAAGUGCUAUGUGUACACAAUGGUGUACAUACAACAUUACAUCUCCCCUCACUUAAAGGAGGCCCACAUACAAUAAAAUAUUCGUGGAUUCCUUUCUAUAUGAGGGGGUGUAAUCCAUUAUUCAUGGUGUACACAUAGAAUUAUCCAUCAAAUCUCCUUACGAUUUGACGAUACUAUAUUUGGUGACAGUACCAAUCUACGAUUACCAUACUGUUGUGCUUUACUUUCCCUCUUCCUCUCACUAUUUUAAAUUAUCUAAGGUCCAUUUUAUAGCAUCUAAUUCCAUGAAAAAUGUCUCAUUCGAGAAAUUUAUUUUUUACUAUAGCUAUUUGAUACGAAAGUGGCAUUUGAGUUCGAAUUUCAAGAUAAAAACACUUAAAACAUAUUUUUACCCAAUUUCAUGGAAAUCGAAUUCUUAUGAUUUUGGUGAUUUUUUUCUUUUUCAACGUAGGUGGAAUUAGUUUAUCUUUUCCACGUUUACAAUCAAACAGACCCUAAUAUCCUUUGUGUUCCGGAGAUGAAAUUUUUUUGUUUUUAUUAUUAUUAUUAUUUUUUUCCAUUUCUACGUUUUGUCAAACAAAUCAGAUAUCAGUUGAAUUUUCUACAUCUUCUUUCCACGUGAAGGACCGAUGGAAUGUAUACGUGGCCCUACACAUUUAUUCCUCUCCACCAAUUCUUGUCCCAUUGUGAUAAGAGCAAAUGCACCAAGUCAUUCAAGCUUCCAUUUUCAGUGUCAACUAUUAUCAGCACCGCCCACACACACUGUCAUUUUCUUCGAUCUUGGGAGAUCACUUGUUGAAUCUAUCAAACGAAAUAAAUCCGACAUUAUUUUCAUUGAUCAUUUCAUAAAUAUAUUUCUGAUUUAUAAUUUUAUAUUUAUGCUCCAAAGCAAAAAUGAGAUGUGCAUGACAGUUUUAAACCUAUUGUUGAAGAAUUCUUUAAUGCUCACAUACGUACUCUGGUUAUAUUUUUCUUGCCUCUUUCAUAUUAGAUAAUGGCAUUUUGCAACUUACUACACCCCGUCGCACACUAUAAUACAAUGGCUUCUCUCAGGGGCAGACCUAGACUUUUAGUACUGUGGGUUCAAAAAUUAAGAUAUACUUUAAAAAAAAAAACAUAAUAUUAAUUAAAAUAAGUUAAUACGUAUAAACGUCAUAUAAUUACAUCAUAUCAAUAUUACUAAAUAAAAUUUGCUACUUGUUUAGUUUUGUUUACCAAUUCACUGACAAAUGCUGAGCCGACUUCGAGUAAGUCGAUUUGAAUGUAAAAUGUAAAUGAAUUGAAUAAAAUCCGAGAUGUAAAUGAAUUCAAAUUUGAGACAAAUGUAAUUACAUUUAAUCUAUAAUAAUAAUAAAACUUUUGACAUUAUUCCUUAUAAAACUUUCUAAUAAAAUGAUAUAAAUAAUAUUGAAAAAUUUAUCGCGCAAAAAUAAUAAACAUUAAUAAAAUAAUUGAAUUUUUUUAAAAGAAAAGACGAGUUGUUCUUUUUUGAGACGUACAUUUAACGCAUAUUUAACUAUUUUUUAUGUCCGUUUGAACCAUUCAAUAUAAAAACGAUGUAAUUCUUAAAAUGAGCUUCUACAGGACGAACGAUUUGUGGAUUCGGAUAGCAUAUUAUCGCCAAUUAAUUUUGAAAAUUAGCAUAUUAUUGAAAUUUUCGAAAUCCUAGUUUCAAAUGGCUUACUUUGGGGUGUCGUAACUUUUGUUAUGGUUGACCAUUUCAAACACCUUUUGUAAGCAAAAAAGUAGGCCACGAACACUUCGAAAUGGAAUUAAGAAUGCAAUAUUUCAACUUUAUUUGACAUCCCGUAAUGAGUGCAUCAAAGUAGGUCGUAAAGGGAUCAAAACAACUAUUUUUUGUGAAAAAAAAACAAAAAACAUAAAAAAAAAAAAAGGAAAUCAAGGGCAAAAAAUAUGUGGGGUCAUUUGAUCCCACAUGACCCCAUGUGGGUCUGCCCAUGGCUUCUUUAAACGCCCUAACACAAUCACAUAGUAGAAACUGAUCUUGCACUCUACCAUGUGUCUGUCCUACUCUUAUUAAGGUAUCUUGUUAAGCACAAUCUUGUAUAUUAUAAAUCUUAUGUCCACGUCUAGUCUACCCAUAAAUCCCCAGUAGAGUUAAAGACUAAUGCUCAGAUUAUGCUAAACUCGAUGUUGUUUGUUAUCUUUGAUAGUCGUGGUUAAAACCAUACACCGACCACAAGUUAGGACAUCCGUCACGUCCAUUGUAUUUUUUGGAUAAUCUCUCUCCAAAGCAGGGGUGGAUCUAGGUUCCACGUUCAGCUAGGACAUUUCACUUUGACUUUGACCAUUGAUCAUUGAUCGUCGAUAAUCAACAAUCGUAUUAAAAUUUGAUUAAAUAAUAUUAAAAAUUGUUAGAUAUAUAUGUAAGCAUUAUAUACAUAUGAAAAUAUAGUUCAAUACAACCCGAAAUACUAAAAAAAUAUACGAUAGAACCUUACUCUGUAACUAUAAACUUAGACAACUGAAUUCUACGGGGUCUCAUAUUUUAAAAACGUUGCAAUAUUGCCUCAUUCUCAACUUAAAAAAAAAAAAAGAUCUUUCUCCACAUAAACCACCAAAUGGUCAUUGAACGACUCAUUUCCCAUUUUGUUGCACAAGUCACUCUUGAUUAAAUUCACAGCGGAGAAUACCCUUUCAAAACUUGCAGUUGCCACAGGUAAUAUCAAAACCAAGGUGAUCAGCCUAUAAACCAAUGGAAAAUAACAACUACUUCUAGUUUCAAUCAACUUCUGAACUACACAAGAUAUGCUUUUGAGGUUAAAGAAAGCUUCGUCCAUUCUCAUAAGCAUAACAAACUUGUCAAGUUCGGGUCUAAGUAAUAAAAGCUCGUCACUAUUGAAGUCCAAAGGAUAGAACUGGGGAAGACGUACCAAUUUAGCCUGAUCAAAAGCUGCAAAUGAAUCUCUUGGACUUAAACACGAAAUGCAAUCAAAGAGCUCAAUAGUUGUUGCUGAAAAACGAUCAUUGAAUUCUUGCAAGAUUGAGUCUAUCACAUGACAAAACAAAUUGAGCUGCACGCCUAGGUCGACCUUUCAUUACUACAAUAUCUUCCAUAUUGGGUACUGAAAUAUGUCUAUCAACAUAAAACUCAAUUACCUUACUCAACAAAGUAUCCCAACCAUUAUCUCUCUUAUUCUGUAAUGCAUACGUACACAACUUCAAUAACCUCAUAGUAUUCUGAAUAUCUUGAUCCUUUUUUUUGUAAGGCUUGUGAAAGGUUGUUUGUAGGUUCAAGAAUUUUAAACAUAAAGUGGAGACUGCACACAAACUUAAAAUCUUGCAUAGUAUUCAUCUGUCUUACAGCCAUUGAUUUUUGACCUAUAUUUUUGUCAUCUUCUGAUAUAUUUUCAAGAACAUCUAUGACGGCAUUGAAUAUACUAAUAAAGCGAGUAAUUGUCAGUAGAUGUGAGCCCCAUCUAGUUUCACCUGGGUGUGCUAAACUCAUUUCUUGGAACUGAUUAGUUCCAUUAGUAAGUUCCCCAAUAUUAAGCUUCUCCAGAAUAUUAGCAUAAUAACUUGCUCGAAGAGAAUCUACAAGCUUACAUGAUGCACCAACCAAAUUCCCAAUAAUAGCAAGCAUGUUAAAAAAAUCACCAAGCAUAUGAUCCGUACGUGCCACAGUAACAACUGCCAACUGAAGCUGGUGAGCAAAGCAAUGGAUAUAUAUAGCAUAUGGAUUUUCUCUUAAAAUUAAAGCUUUUAAGCCAUUGAACUCACCUGACAUAUUGCUUGCUCUAUCAUAACCUUGACUUCUCAGGCUAGAUAUGCUCAAUCUAUAUGUAGAAAGCAUUGCAUCAAUGGCAUCCUUCAGUGAUUGGGCACAAGUAUCCGUAACAUGAGAAAUGCCCAACAAACGCUCCUUCACUUUCCCACUCUUGUCAACAAACCUUAAAACAACUGCCAUUUGUUCAUUUAUAGAAUUAUCACGAGUCUCAUCAACCAAAAUUGAAAAUAAAGAAUCACCCAUCUCAUUGAUAAUAGACCUUCUCGUCUCUAUGGCACAAAGUUAACCAAAUCCUUUUGGAUGUUUGGUGAAGUUAUUUGGUCAUUUCCAGAAGCGUUACUAAAUAACACUUCUUCAAUUUCUUUACGACGAACUGCAUACCAAUUUAAUAGCUCAAUUAAAUUUCCUCUGUUAAGAGACUCUUUGGAUUCAUCAUGACUACGAGAUGGUAAUCCUUACAUCAAGAGAAAUCUAGUACAAUCUAACACCGCAGUCAACCUUGUCCUAUAACUAUUUUGUUGACUACUCCUCUAGCUAGAAAUAACAUUGGAGAUACUUUGCUUUUGAUUCAUCAAACUGGUACACUUUGUAAAAGAUUGAUUAUGAGCACUAUAAAAGAGCCCAACAUGAUCUUUCAAUGUCUUUUUGUGCUUCCAAUCCCUAAUGCCGGUCUUGGUGAAUAUAUGUCCACCCCCUUGACCCUCUCUAUCAGGUUUGAACAAGUAGCAAUGCAAACAAUUAGCUGCAUCCUUUUCUAUACUGUACUCUAACCAAUGAAAUCCAGAAAACCAUUCUUUCCGAAAACACCUAUUAUCAUUUCCCAUCAGUCUUCUUAGAAAGUCGUGCCCAUAUGGUUGAUAGGACCUUUCUCCAAGUAUGUCAUUCUAAUAUCAUCUCUGAUAUUAGGAUCAUAUGACUCGACAGGGGGACGUUUCCCUAGAUCAGAUACAAGAUCAUCAACAUUGAAUUGAGCUCGAGACUUCUUUGUGUUAUUUAACAACACGCGUACUUGGCUAGAAGCAGUGGCCGGACUAGAAGCACAAUUAGAACUAGGAAAACUAGGUAACGACUUUCGUUUCGGUUGAAAUAAUAGAUCAAUAAUCUGCAAAAUGCCUCCAAUUUAAUUUUCGAUUAGAAUUGAUUAAAAAAUCACAAUUCUUAGUAAUAAUUCCUAAAUCCUAAUUUCCUUUGCUACGACUAUAUGAAUUAAACUUUGAUUCACUAUCACUAAUAACAUGUACAACACUCGAGCCAGUCAACACUUCAAGUCUCCAAAUCUCCAACAGAGUCACUCAACUCAAGUCGUCCAAGAUUCCAAGUGCUCAACAAACUCUCAACACCGUCACUUCAGGCAUCAACAUACAACAAAUUGAACAAAGGGUCGGCAAAUUGCAGUUGCACCAGCACAAUUGCACAAAUCAACAAAUAAAAUACGUCAAGUCGUCAAUACAACAACACUCAAUUUCUCAACAGUGAGCAGUCAACACACAAUAAAAACAGUCAACAGAGACAGAGUUGAGACAAUUAGAAUUCAGACAACCAAAACAAUUCAAUUAACCAAAUAUUCAACUCUUUAACUUUAAUUAUUAAACUUAAUAAACUUUAACUCAUCAAUCACCAAUGAUGCAGCCUAUAAUGCACAUUGCUGGCUGCUCGUGCUCGACCUCACCACUCACCUCGAACUUCAGUCCACGGAGUCUGUCCCUGGUCUGGUCGGAGAAGAUGGAGAUUCGCCCCUAACUCUAAGACUUCGUACAUAGCACAUUGGUGGCACACGCACGUUCACCGGUUCACCGCCUCCAUCUGGUACUACUGUUUCGAAUUGAAAUUGAGGGUAAGUGGGUAACUAGUUUCUAUAUAAGGGAAAGGACCAAGGUUUUGCAAUUUUGGGGCUGAUUUUAGGUUUGGGAGUUGGGAGAAAUAUCAAUUAAAACCAAUAUAUCCAAUUAAUAAAUAUGCACCGUCCAUUUGAAUGGAUCCAAUUUCCGUAUUUGGGCCAAUUUUUAUUUUUUUUUAAAUAGGCCCAAUUUCAGUUAGAUUAGCCCAAAGAAAAAGUGAAAAAAGCGGUCGUCUUCUCCUCUUUUAGUUACAGCUGAAACUGAGUUCCUUCGUCUACAAUUGCUGGGCGUCUGCUACCAACACGAUGGUCACUAAACUGACUAAAGACUCCGGUGGAGCCAGCAUGAGCGAUCACGCCCGGUGCUGGCUCCGCCCCUGCCCCAAAGUCAUUGUAUUAUAUUGUUGCUAAUCAGAUGUAAAUUUCUCAUCAUGUCAACUUCAUCAAGUUUGCAUUCCCAUUUGAUUCGUGAACAACCACUAGUAUUAUUGUUUUCGUUGCUGACUCAUCUCAUAUUUCCCAUCCCAUGCCCAUCCCAAUUUAUAUCCCUACCCAUUCAGCGUACCAUAUUUUGUUAAGCUCUCAGCUUUUUCCACAAGUAAGCUCUUUUAGAGUUCACGUAUGACUGAAGUUCUAUUGAGAAUUCUAUUGGGAGUUGGUAGUAUACCUUGAAAAAUUCUUGAAGAAGUCAAAGAGGUAUAAGGAGAAUAAUCACGUGAAGACUGUUCGCCAACCUCAUAGAUGUCGUUCAAGCAAAAAUUGCAAUAACUCCAUCGCUUGCUAACUAUGCCAGGUGCUCGAGCGGUGGCCGGUGGAUGCACAGCUUGCUAGUUGCGAGACCACCGCUCGAGUGAUGGUGUUAUCCGGUGCAAAUCCUAGUCAUUAUUUUGGUAGUUUUUAUAUUCAUAUUCUACCUCAAAUACUCCAUUAUUUGUUAGGCCUAUUAUAUUAGGACCCUACCAUAUGUUAUGCUCUUCGUUAUGCUAUAUAUAGGAUUAAUUUCAUCUCUUGAAAUCAUCCAACUUUUGCAGCCAUUUGAUAUAGUGAAUUUUCUCCUCUUCUACUCGUGUUUUUUCCCGUAGUAGGUUUUCAUGUAAAUUUUGUAUUCUUGUUCAUAUAUUUUUAUAUUUUCAUUUUUCAUUUUUCAUAAAAAAUAGGCAUUAGAAUAAUGUUUGAUUUUCAGUUAUGGCAACCAUGAAAUUCGAUAUUUCGCUUUUGGAUCACAACACUAGGUUUUCGUUACAGCAAGUAAAGAUGAGGGUUGUCCUUGCACAAGUAGACUUGGAUGAUGCCCUGUUAGAUUUGAUAAGAUGCCCUCAAUUUGGAUGCAGGAGGAAAACAAUGUAGGGAUCGAAAUGCCCUAUCUCAAAUUCAUCUUCAUCUAUCAAAUCAAAUUCUUUAAGACACUCUAAAUGAGGAAACUUCCACUAUGUUAUGGUUACAAUUGGAGUAAUUAUACAUAUGGAAAUUGUAACUAGUAAAUUGCAUUUGAAGUAAUGAUUGUAUUCUUAUCACAUGACAGAAGAUGCGUCUAUAGAAGAUCACCUAAAUUUUCUUUAUGAAAAUUUUUACUAAUCUGGAGACCCUAGAGGUCAAGUAUACUGAAGAAAAUUUAGGGUUAAUCGUCUUGUGUUCGCCGCCGUCUUCAUAUAUGCCUUUUAGUGAAACUAUUUUUUACAAUUAUAACACUCUGACCAUAGAUGAAGUAUAUGAUACUUUGUUUUCAAAUGAGAAGAUGAAGCAGCUUAUGAUUGGAUCUGAAGCUCAAGCAAAGGGUCUUGUUGUUCAUGGUGGUUACGUGAGGGCAUAUUGAAGUCUAAUUACAAUGAUAAAAUUUGUAAUUAUUGUAGAAAAGGGGGCACAUCAAUUUUGAUUACUAUAAGUUGCAGGAUAAGGAUAAAAUAGCUACUAUAAAUUAGAAAGGAAAAUAACUAGAAAAUCUAGGUAAAGCCAGUGUUGCAAAAGAUUGCUAUAGUAAUGGAGAACUUCUAGUUAUUUCUAAUAGUGACUCCAAACCUUACGAGGAUUAGUUUCUUAAUACAUCUUACACGUUUCAUAUGUGCUCUAAUCAAAUUGGUUUUCAAAGGUGCUAAGAUAAUGAGAAAUAAUGCUCCUUGUAAGAUAGCUGGUAUUGGAACGAUAAGAAUUAAAAUAUUUGAUGAUAUGAGACAUGUUUCAGAUUUGAAGAGAAAUUAUAUAUAUUUGUGUAUUCGUUAUUCAGAAGGGCACAAGUACACUAUUGAAAGUAGGGUCUUGAAGGUUAGCAAAUGCGCUCGUAUUAUGAUGAAAGGGUACAGAAGAUCUACCUAGUUAUAUGUGUUACAGGGUUUUACAAGAUUAUUGAUACAAAUUAAUAGAGAUCAGACACAUAGGUCGAGUUUGAUUUUGGGUCAAUAACUAGACCAGACUUUAUAUUUUAGCUUUGUUCAGAAGUUAAGGGUAGUGCCACUUUGCUACCACCAUGUAGUUAUGGCAAAAAACCUAUCGCCGCCUCGCCCCGAAAAAUUGGUGGGGCGAGGUGCGUAAAGAGCAAAAAAUAAUAAUAAAAUAAUUUUAUUUAUAGACAAUUUACUAGUUAAAAAUUCAUUUUUGAAUUUGUUUUUUAAUUCUCUAAUAAUAGCAUAACUCGAAAUACUGAAAAUGUAGAAAAAAAAUUAAAUGGGGCAAAAAAUUGGGCAAAAAAUUGCCUUGCCCCUGUCCGGUCUGAGGUAGGGUAGGAGGGCGCCGAACCUAUCUCGUUGCCAUCCCUACCACCACCAGUGAUACCACAUUAUUCUAUUGUUAAAUAUAUCCAAAAGAAAUAUUAGACCUCUACAUAAGUGCGGUUACACUGAUUUGGUUGCUUAUGCUUUGAGUGUUGCCAAAGGUAUUGAUUCCAUUGAAAAACCUUCUAAGAGGAAGUUAGGUGUGUUGAUUCGAUUUUGUUGAAAAUCUUGAAAAGAGAAGAUCUCUUACAGGGUACAAUUUUACUAUUGGUGAUUGUGUUUUCAAUUGGAAAGCUAUUACGUGGUAUAAGAGGUUUGGCUCAUUUUUAGUCACUCAUGGCUUUAAGAAAACAAUUUAUGAUAGCUCUAUUUAUUUUAAGAAGUGUGGUGAUGGGUCGUUUGUGUAUCUAACCUUUUAUGUUGAUAGUAACCAAGGAUAAGGGAGAAAUAAGAAAAGUGAAAGCCUAGCUCAGUGAAGAAUUUGAUAUUAUUGUGAGCAAAGUUGGUACCUAAAAUAAUACUAUUGAUAUGAUGACCAAGUUACUUACUAUAGUCAAGUACGAGCAUUAGUUGAACUUGGUUAGUAUUUGUUCAUUGAGUUUACCCUUAAGCUUUUGUAGAAAGGUGAAGUUUUAUUAUUUCCAUUGGAAUUCGUGUCAAGGUGAAAAUUUGUUAGAGUUUGAGUGUAACUAGAACUCUAUUGAGAACUAUUGUGAGUUUUGUAGUAUGCCUUGAAAAAGUCAAAGAUGGAUAAUGAGAAGAAAUCGCGUAAAGCCCGAUUGCCAAUUGUACAUGUAGUGCUCGAAUGGAAAUCGCAAUAACUCCACCGAUCGCUAAUGUCGCACUAGUACUCAUGUGGUAGAUACAUCUCUUGUUAACAAGAAUAUCACCGCUCGAGCAGUGGUGUUAUCCGAUGCAAGUCUUAGAUACAAUUUUUACAUUUAUGAAUUAUCUCAAAUAUUCCAUUAUUUGUUAGACUUGUUAUAUUAAGAGCCCACCAUAUGUUAGGCUCUUUUUUGUAUUAAAUAUUAGAGUAAUUACAUCUCUUAAAAUCAUCCAAUGUUUGCAAUUUUCUUUAACAUAGUGAAUUUUCUCCUACUCUGUUAAUGAUUUUUCUCGUCUGGGAUUUUCACGUUAAACUUGUGUUAUUGUUCUUAUAUUUUCAUGUUGUCAAUUCUCAUUUUUUGUAAUAAGCACCAUAUCUCAACAAUCAUAAAUUGAUGAAACUGCAGCUAACCUGUACUAUUAGCUUCCAUUCCUCAUUUGCCACGCCCUAGUUCCAAUUUCCCCUACAAUUAACCUAAUGCCCGCUUACACAUUUAAGCAAGCUUCACCCUCUGUCUACAAUUAUUGUGCAUCAGAUCCUUUUUUUUUUUUUUUUUGUUUCUUAGAACAUUAGAAGCCCUUCUCUCUAAGCUUAUAAAUGUUCAUCCGUGGACUUCCCUAACAAAGUCAUGAACCUAUUAAAAAAGGAACCUUUAUACGUACCUUACCACAACUGAGAACAUCGAAGCCACAUUUCCAUCAUAAGAUCUUAAGCAUCCUCAUUGGCAUACUAUCAUAUUCGAUGAAAUGUAUUACUUUGAAAUGGUAACUUGAUUCUUGUCCUUCCUCAUUUGCUCCAAAAGUUGAUUGGUUAUAAGUCAAUUUAUCGAAGUAAGAGUAAGGAUGAUGGCUCGCUUGAUCAAUAUAAAGCUCGAUUAGUUCCUAAAGGGUUCCAUCAACAUCCUAUUAUUGACUUGACAAGACAUUUUGUCUUUUGUUAUACUAAAAGCUAUUUACCUCAUUUUUAGUUUUGCCUUGACCUCUAAUUGGUAUCUCCUUCAGCUAGAUGUCAACAAUGUCUUUCCUGAUGGCAUGUUGAUCUAGUACAUGGCUCAACAUUCUAAGUUUAUAAUGUUGGGCCUUUUAUUGAUACCCAAAGAAUCUUAGGACAAUGUUUAACGGUUAGUUUCAUAGAUUUCACCUAAGGAUUGAAUUAACACCACAAGUUGGGACCAAAACCAGCAGCUUGAUCCAAAACUUAAUGAAGCCAUUCGAAGCAUUUUUAUGUUGCUCAUGGCCCAUUUCAUAGUCAUGGCUGAUUUGUGUGGUUGACUUAACUAAUUGGCUACCUAUUAUCUUCCAUUUCUUUGUGAAUUGUUUUAAGAGUAGCUAUAGAGAUUAAAAACAACAUGAGUUGUUUCUUUCUUCUUUAUGAGUAUUUUGAGGCAACUUUGUGUUCAUUUUCUCCUCUUUUUGUGAGUGCCAUAUUCACAUUUUCUCUAUCCCACAUAUCCUUUGUAUAUUUUUGGGCAACCUUAGUGGCUUUUUGGGUUGUUCUUUAUGGUGUUAGAUUAAUCUUAUGGUGGUUUAAACUGAACCAUAAUCAUCAACUUAUUAGUUUUGUACAUAGAAGCUUCAUUUAUGGUGUAAUUUUAUUCAAAAAAUAGUAUCAGAGCCACAAAUUUAGUUAUAUUGAUGUGAAAAAUAUUAUAAGAAAAAGCAAGACAUGAACAUGCAAAAAAAAGGCCAAAAAUUUGUUGAAAAUCUUCAAACUUGGAUAUGCAAUUCCAUUUUCAUGCCAAGCCAAGCAUCAAAAGGACACCAUAUUCUAACUCCAGACGAUGAGGUUGAGAUACAUCGCCAAUGUGUGUGAUCCAUAGGGCAGUAGAGGCAGCAGCACGUGAGACCCAUGUGCAAGGCGGUGACGAUGCAUAGCAAUGUGUGUGGUGGUUUUCAAUGACAAUCCCUGAAGACAAUGUUCUCGUGUUUGCUCUAUGGACCUACAAUGGUGUUAGUUUUCUAUUUCAAGCAAUAUAUUGAUUCUGGAUAGUUUUGCUCUUAGUCAUUCGGUUGUCAAUUCUUGUUGCUAUCUUGUCAUAGUCAUUGAAAACUUUAGGGCAGCUAGUUUAGUUUUGAUUUGAGUAAGCUCAUAAUAGGGAAUACCCUAAGCCUGGGAACCAAGGCCUAGCCAUCAUUUGUUUGCGGUCGCAUUCCAACUUUGUCCGCCGACAGCUGAAUGUUUCGAUCUGGUUCGAUUCAUGAUCGCAUCUACAAACCUUAUCCUGUAGGACUUUGUUAAUUGAAUCUUGAGCAAGUAAUAUAAUGGUAAAUUAAGUGUCAAGCGUACAAGGAUUAUGUGUUUGAUCUUAUUAAAGUAUAACCUUAAUCGAAUAGAAGAUAGAAUUAUAACGAAUGAAUGUCUAAUUUAUCACACUUGAAAGCAAAGUAAAAACUUUCAAAUUCGUGAGAUGUAUUGUUAAGAUGUAGAAUCUCCAUUGUUAAUCCAUUUUAGUUCAACAAUUUAAAUUGACAUUUCGAAAUCAUGCUCGGUGGUGACGUUCCUAUUUUAAUUAAUAGCUUUUCUCGAUAGCAAUUAAAUCUAAUCCUACACGGGAAUUUCCUAUAUUUCUAUGAAAGAUAUGAAUGAGGAAUAAAGCAUUAAACGAGCUAGAACACCUAUAAAAAUCAUGUGAAACAUAAAGGUAUAACUCUAUCAUUUACGAACCUCACAAAGUGCAUUAUUAAGUGCUAAAUGAACCCACUAUCUCUCUCGAUGAUAGUAAAACCCACAAACAAUUCAGCUAAUGGCCAAUUAAUUGAAAAGCAAACUAAACCUUGAUAAAUACCCAACCAUUCAAAUAAAUUAAUAUCAAUCAAAUCAUUUAAGCAAAAACUUUAUAAUAAGGGUUCAUCUCAUCCUGGUAAUGAAAAGAGUCUAGCCAAGCAUAAUUAAAAUUACAAGAACACAUUUUAAGGUUAAUCAACAACACUUGAAAAUUAAAUAAUUGACAAGAAAUCCUGAAUUCUUGAAUGUCUUCGAUGAAUUCUUGAUAUAUCUUGUUGUUUCCUUCCAAUCCUUGUACAAGUUUCAUAGUAUAAAAUGUGCUUAAUAGUUUUCUUGCAAUUCUUUGGUUGAAAUAUCUCACAAGUAUGAAUAUGUCCUCUUCUUUAAUAUAAUUAUUCCAAGUUUUUGAGUUGUCUAUUGCAUAUAAUAGGCCCUCCCAUGUGAAUUACAAGAACAUAUUUUAAGGUUAAUCAACAACACUUGAAAAUUAAAUAAUUGACGAGAAAUCCUGAAUUCUUGAUAUAUCUUGUUGUUUCCUUCCAAUCCUUGUACAAGUUUCAUAGUAUAAAAUGUGCUUAAUAGUUUUCUUGCAAUUCUUUGGUUGAAAUAUCUCACAAGUAUGAAUAUGUCCUCUUCUUUAAUAUAAUUAUUCCAAGUUUUUGAGUUGUCUAUUGCAUAUAAUAGGCCCUUCCAUGUGUAUGGAACGUUCUGGUAUUUAUAUAACUCGAAUCUAGGUCAAAGAUAUCGUCCAAAUUAUUGCCAAGUUGAGUUUUAAUCGUAUAAGGAAACCUGAGAUUCAUCUAAAAUCUUGUACUAAGCGGUAGCAUUGUACAUUGGGAUGCGACUGCAUAGUUCACUUGUUGAACUCCAAAUUCCUCCCCACAUGUGUGGAUGGGAUUGUAUGGAUUUUUGAACUAUGCAAGCGCAUAGUUAUAGGGCUUUUUUUUUCCUAACGACUUUCAGUAUUUCGGUCAUGUCUUCCUCUUUCGAUAUUCGAUUGAGAUGAUUUAAACUGCAUUGGAAGGAUAACUCAAAUGUAUACAAUUCUUUCAAAGAUAUAAUUUUUCCAAUUCGAACAUUUGCGAUGCCAAAAUUGGGUUCAUAUAGAGAUUGAAAAUCUAAAGCAUAACUUUUUCGCCUAAAAGUUGAUACGUGAUAAUAUUUUGACUAUGUUUCAUCCCUUUGACUUUUCCUCAUUCUAUAGAUCCAUAACACUCUUGAAUCUUCUUUGUAAGGUUCAACAUAACUUUUCAAUAGUUGCACUUUAGUCCUCAAACUUUGAUUUUGCUUCUUUUCAGCCCUUUUCUUUUGUAAUCUUGUUCUUUUAUCUUUCCAUUGUAUCCAAUUAAAGUCAUGGCAUCUUCGAUCUUCAUUUCAUUGCCUAUCUCAUCUAUGGGUUAUUUGAAAUUUGGUCCUUGUCUUUGGGAUUACACUUGUUUUAAAAAAAAUAUUACUAUUUAAGCCCUUAAUAUGUGUAUAAAAUACACUUAUCACAUCACAUGUGUAUAACUAUGUGUUAUUUGCUCUUGAUUGAUCUCUAUGUAAAUUUGAUUGUACCGAGUAUGACCUUAUCUCUUGGUGAGUACAUGGAGUAAGUACGGUAUGUGUUUUGGGGUUAAGAUACUAGUAAGGUCUGUGCUUCCAAUUUAUUUUGGAUAGCUUGAUUAGGCAAGUAUUAUAUGAACUUGGUUUUUUUGGCUUGCAAGUUUGUUAAGUAUUAAUGUGGAUUUUGUUAAUUUUUUGGUACCCAAUAAAUAUCGGGAUGAUGAUGUUUGAUAGUUUAACAUUUCAUUUAAUUGGGUUCGGUCAAGGAUUGAAUUAAUGCCAUAAGUUGGAACCUAAACCAAAGGCUCAAUUCACAACUUAAUCGGGCAAACCAAAGCAAUUUUUCAGUUACACGUUGCCCUAGUUUUUAACUUAUCAUUUCAAAAAAAAAAAAAUCAGAUUUUAACUUUAUUCUUUCAAAAAUCAGGUAUACCCUAUCAAACCUGCCCUACCCUUUAACUUUAAUUCAUUUUCUAUCCAAACAAAAGGUCAUAGAACUUCUCCACCAGCUUCUAAUUCUUCACUAUCAAUUAUUUCUUCGACGAUAAGCACAGUGGCAGUAGAGCGGCGCUCAUCAUUGCUAUAUGCGAAGUAGUGUCAUGCGCAAUGGAGAUUGCAUGGUUUUUGUUGUAUCAUUUACCAUGUACCAUUUACUCUUAGUAAUCAUCGCUAUUUGCCAGAGUUUUGAGGUGAUUUUUGUUAGUGGUUGUUGGUGGUUUGUAAAUGGUGGUGGUUGUUUACAAUUUGCAAAUGGUCGUUAUUUGUGGUGGUUGUAAUUGUGCACAACGUUAGGUUGAUGUUGGUGUAGUGGAGUGGGGUGAGUGGGAUGAAGAGUGUUUGUGACCAAUUAUUUUAGUGAUUGUCCCCAAUAAAAUGGUUAAUUUGUGACCAAUAAAACCUAUAAAUUAGGUAAUUUGUGAUCAAUAAAAUAAUAUGUUACCUAAAAGAUGUGUGAUUACGACUAAGACUCACAAUUUGUGUCUUUUUUUAUUGUGACCAUAUGUGAUUUGUGAAUGUGAUCAUAAUUGUGUGUUAUUGUGACCUUCAACCAGUUAUUAUGACCUUGACAUGUUAUCAAGUGGUCACUUGAUUUUUGAAAUUUCUUUACAAGUUUCUUAUUUCUGAAAAUGUAUCUUUAAAUCUUUGUAGUAAUGUAUUUUUCCUUUUUUUAGUUAAUGCUGCUCAUGGUCCAUUUGAUAGUUUUAGCACAUUGGUGUGGUUGACUGAACUAAUUGGAUACCUAUAUAUAUCUCCUUUCUUUGUGAAUUAUUUUAAGAAUGGCAGUUGAGAUUAAAAACAACAGCAGUGUGUCCUUCCACUUUGUGAGCAUUUUGUUGUGGCCGUGUGCUCCUUUUCUCUUUCCUUUGUGAGCGCCACCUGCACCUUACCUUUGUGGGACAAAUCCUUAGUGGAUUCCUCGACAACUCAGUGGCGUUUUUGGAUUGUGGUUUCUUGUGGUGGAUUAAACUAAGCCGUAAUAAUCAAGAUAUCAGUUUUGCACGUUGAAGCUUCAUUGGUUGUGUAAUUAUAUUCGACACACGAUUAUCUACUCAAUAUUGAUUCAUUGCCAACACAGCAAGCGAAAUUCUUUGACUUAAAUCAUUGCUUCAUGAACUCGACAUUCAAACUACUUAACACUAUUUAUUUAAUGUAGCAAUGUUGUGACCGUUUAUGUAUGCGCCAAUUCCGUAUUCUGCUCAAAAGCGAAGCACAUAAAAUUGAUAUACAAUUUAUUUAUUUAUUUAUUUAUUUUUAUUUGUUUUGUUUAUGUUCAAAUGAUGCACUCACAAAACCAUUUUCUUUAGCUCACUUUCAUUAUCUUCAUUCCAAGAUUGAAGUCUCUGAUGGGUCCAAUCCAUCAUCUUGUACGAAUAUACUAGAGAUAAUAUCUAUGAUAAAUAUUCCAUGAAAAUAUUUAUCUUUAUUUUAUACACGGAUAUCCGUGGCCCAUUAUCUACCCCUUGUAUGAAUGGUCAUGGAGACUUUAUUUUUUAUUGAUUACUACUCAAGAUAGAUGUAUCUCUAUCUUCUGUUCGAUAAGGAAGAAGCGUUUGAUGCUUGUAAGGUUUUCAAAAACAGGGGCGGGGAGGGAAUGGUAACGUCAUAUAUGGGUGGGUACUCUUAUGGAAAGUACAUAGAGGAGUAAUAAGUGACAGGAACAUAUCAUUCUUUUGCUCAUUCGUAGUAAAUGUUACUUAGUCAUUUACCAUAGUAGUUAGCCAAUACUCUAGUUAUCCUUAUACAAAAGUGUAGUUCCCCUUAUUUGUAGUUCACUUUGUAUAGAAUAUAGAUAGAACAAAUGAUCAAUAGAAGAGUGGCUAAUUCUCUUCUAAAUAUUGUCUUUAUUUUAUAUUCUACAUUUGUUGCAUUCCAUUCAUUUGGAGCUAAAAUCACUCAGUUAGAAACAUAUAAUUGCAAGGAAAGUUUUUUCUGCAAGAGUCUUCGGUGGUUUCUACUUUCUUCCGCAUACUAGAAUUCACCAUCUUAACAAAAUUUUAAAACGUGAAAUCUAAUGUUUAAGAAUAUCCACUAAUUUUCCAAGUCAUUCGAAAUUUAUCUUUCGAAACUAAAUAAAAAGAAAGGUUAAAAGAAUGCAAAACAAGGUAUGAAUUAGUAGGAAAAACGUUUUUAUAAACUUAUAAAACUGUCCUAAACACAAGCAGAAUGAUGACUAUUGAAACUAAAAUGAAUAGAAAUGUCAAAAGGAAGUAAAAUAAAAAGUUUUGAAUUAGUAAUUUUUAAAAAAAAAAAAAAAAAACUUAAGACAGUCCUAAAAGCAAGUAGGAUGAUUGAUGUUGGAAUUUAAAGUUUAAGUAUUAUAUUACAGAAUCAAAAGACUAUUAUUGUAGUACAACAGAUAUAAAAGAGAUAUAAAAGUUAAAGACUGCUUCUUCCGAAAUCCUUAGUUUCAAGUUUAUAAAAAUAUCACUUACAUAUCUUACAAAGUAAAACUUAGUUUAAAGUUUUAAGAUUCUUGACUUAAAUAAACAAAGAAUUAAAGUGAAUAUGUAUCGAUAUAAUCAUGCAGGGACGGAGUAGGGAUGGCAAUAAAACCCACCCCGCCUCAAAUGGGGCAAAAAAAUCCAUCCCGAAUGGGUGGGGUGGGGUGGGGUGGGGUGAGGCGGGGCGAGGAUGCCCGGCCUUGAACCCGCCUUGUGAAGGAAAAAAAUAAAAAAUAAUUUUAUUUCUAGACAAUUCACCUUUUAAAAAUUCAUUUUAAAUUUGUAUUUUAUUCUCUAAUAAUAACAUAACUUGAAACUUUGAAAAUGUAAAAAAAAUAAAAUAAUAAUAAACGAGGCAAAAAGUUGUCCCGUCCCUGCUCCCUCGGGGCAAGGUUUUGGGGAACGGAGCGGGGCAGGGUGGGGCACUACACCCUGAACCCGCCCCGUUGCCAUCACUAGGACGAAGUGGACUACUGAAAACAAUCACUGGGGUUAACAUAUACUGAUUCAAAUAUUAUGUCUCGAACGGCACAAUUCAAUGAAAAUACAUUUCCUUUCACUGAAAUAUAAUGUCCAAAGGAUAUGUAUUUACAAUAAAAAGAUUUUGAAAAGAUUCUAUUCAUUGUCGUGUAGGGUUACAAUAAAAAGAUAUACGAGUUUUCAGCCAAAUAUGCUCUAGAAAAAUUCCAUAAUAUUCUAAUGUUUUCCAAAAGUUUCUAUGUAUUUGAGCAACUUAAAUUUGGCAUUAAUUUUUUAUGCACUCGAAAUUAAUUUCAAGCAACUAAAUUAACUUUGAAAAUCUACUCACGGUGUAGAACUAGUUCGACAUUCAAAUAUCUAGUACCGACCAACGGCUUCAACUUAAAUAAUUAGUCAAAAAUCUGUUCAAACCAAUUUUCCAAACUAAUUUUCAACAAUUUCCCACAUGAACAAAAAUUAAUGAAAAUGACUCUACAUACACUAAGAUUACAUUGUGCCAGGUACAUUGUGGGUUGAACAUUCUGAUGUCCAGUCACUGCCAAAAAGAAGAUUACAAGGGACCACAAAAAUUGGUCGCUGAAUGAUAUUUUCUGGUAUUUGAAAUGUUUCACCGACCAUUAUAUCCUAGUCACUGGUUAGUUGCAAAUUCAUUGUCAGUGAACGAAAUUGGCAACCAAAUAAGUGUAGUCGCUAUAAACAUAAAUCUUUAUCAACCGAAUAACUGUGGUCGCUAAUCAUGUAUUCUGGUCACUAUAUACAACAUUAUGAUAUGAUUUAGGUUGGUAAAAAUUCAUCUCCAGCACAUUUCUUAUCAUAAAAUGGAUAUGAGUCAUAUUUCAAGCGCUCAUUGAUUUUUUAUAACUUGGUUAUCCCAUUGAACUAACAUCUUGGGAUUUUCAAUCAACAAUGCUGGGUCAUUAUUAUUAAAAUUCUUACAUAGUAGGCUUUAAAAUAAUUAUCCUCGAUCUGCUGUAUACUUGAUCUCUUGGUAAACUUUUAAAAGUGGAUCCACGUUAUUACACCAUAUAAGAUCAAUUAUUUUAUUAUACUAUGUCUUUGAUAUAUUUGUCGAUGCUGACACAAUACAAUAAAUUUAUAUCUUAAUAAAAGUAGCCAGCUAUCACAAUUAAUUUUUGGAUAAUAGACAUAAGUCGCCAAUUAAGAAUUCCGACCCCAAUUUUCGAAAUAACGUGCUUAUUUCUAGCUUUAUUUAAAGCUCUAACUCGACCUACAAAUACACAACAUAUUUGGAGAAUUUCUAAUGCACGAAAUCAUUGUGAAACAUUUUUUUUUUUGAAUCCUUGGUACUAGAUAUUCAAUAACCAUUGAAUCCAUUAUGAUGCAUUUCAUCGCUUGAAUACUCUUCAUACAUUUCAAUACUAUUUUUUCAUAUCCAAUAUAAAUAUAAUAAUUGAUUUUCAUUCUCAUUUUAAGCACUUUUGAAUUAGGGAACGCCAUCUUUGUGAAUCCUCCUCAUACUUUUAAAAUUAAUAAAGGAUUUUCUACUUUUCCAUUUUCAUAGAAUUUUUCUCAUGACUUAUUAAAAAUGUAACUUAUAAACAAUGAUAUCCCGUAACUCCUUAGAUGUGAAUUUAAUUUUCUAGUAAUGCUAUUCUCUUUUCAACCGUUUCACUAUAAUUUUGUUGAAUGAAUUCCUAACUCAUGCUUACAUUGCUUUUAACUGGGCCAAUAAUUGAACCCAAACGUUCACGUUGAUUUAUUUAGUUGUUCGUGCCCAUAUCUUUGUAUCAUCAAAUAAGAAAUUUUACUCUCAUUCUUCCUUGCUUUCCUUCUCACUAAUGGAUAAUUCAUUAUUAACAUGGGAAAAAUUCUUAUAUCAAGCCUUAAGCACCCCCAUUUAAUUCAUAGUAAAGGGCAUGAUGAGUAACAUAAAGAAGGUAAUUUUAUUACAAAUAAACCUUUUCAAUUUCCAAUGAAUGAACCAUACGGAAUUUAUCAUGCGGGAUGUGUAAAGAUUUUGAGAAGAUUCUACUCAUUGUCAUGUAGGAUUACAAUCAAAAAGAUAUACGAGUUUUCAGCCAAAUAUGCUCUAGAAAAAUUCCAUAAUAUUCUAAUGUUUUCCCUAAGUUUCCAUGUAUUUAAGCGACUUAAAUUUGGCAUUAAUUUUUUAUGCACUCGAAAUUAAUUUCAAGCAACUAAAUUAGCUUUGGCAAUCUACUCACGGAGUAGAAUAAGUUCGACAUUCAAAUAUCUAGCACCAACUAACGGCUUCAACUUAAAUGAUUAGUCAAAAAUCUGUCCAAACCAAUUUUCAACGAUUUCCCAAAUGAACAAAAAUUAAUGAAAAUGACUAUACAUACACUAAGAUUACAUUGUGCUAGGUACGUUGUGGGUUGAACAUUCUGAAGUCCAGUCACUACCAAAAAGAAGAUUACCAGGGACCACAAAAAUUGGUCACUGAAUGAUAUUUUCUGGUCGUUGAAAUGUUUUACCGACCAUUAUAUCCUAGUCACUGGUUAGUCGCUAAUUCACUGUCGGUGAAGGAAAUCAGCAACCAAAUAAAUGUAGUCGCUAUAAACACAAACCUUUAUCGACUAAAUAACUGUGGUCGCUAAUGACUUAUUCUGGUCGCUAUAUACAAUAUUAUGAUAUGAUUUAGGUUGAUAAAAAUUCAUCUCCAGCGACAAAAAAAAAAAAUUAUAUUUUGAGCAACCAGGUAUAUUAGCGGCUAUUUCCCAUCCUUUAGAGACCAAUAUUGGUCGAUAGUGGUGUACCAAUCGAGAUAAAAUUUUGGAUUUUGAAUGAUAAAUAUACCUACCAAAUUGUGGUGGGAGAAGUUUACUGACAACGACCAAUUCGUGGUUGCUGAAUCUAUCCCUUUAUCAGCAACUAUUAAUUGGUUGGUGGAUGUCAAUUUUUUUUCCCUUUUUUGAAAUCGUUUAACAACCAAAUCUAGUAGUAAAUGUUAAAUUAAUAGAUUAAGAAAGCAACAUUUUUUUUUUUUGUUCCCUCUGAUAUUUUGUCAAAUCCUUCAAUUCGACUUUCAACAACCACAAAGUUCAUACUAAAAAGGCCACAGUAAGAACAACAAUGAAAUUAACUAAAAGUAUACAAUAAUAACUACAAAGGAUAAUUGUUAUAGCUUAUGUAACAAGUGUUAAUAAUCUCUACAUAAUUCUAAAUGUCCUACACUUAACCUAAAAAAUAUAACUUCUGAAAUUUUCCUUGUGACUUCAACAAUAUAAUCACAAUACUAUGGCACUAACUGAUGAAGGUGGUGGAGGCGGAUCAUUAUUCGGUCUUGGAGGAUGCUGACUCAUAUCUAUUCGUGCAACAAGACUCUGAAUAAGUAAAGCAUGUUGUUCAAGACGUUGUGUAAGCUCUCUAAAAGUAUCAUCUUUCUCCUUAUCUCGUUGAGCAAGAAUUUCCAACUUUUCCAUUAACCCAGGAGUUGUGCAUGUGUUGAUAUAUGACUUGCGUGGAGCAGGUCCAAUCCCAGAAAUAGUUCCAGCACUCUUAUCAAAAAAAUGAACACAUAUUGCUAUUUCAUCCAUAAUGGAUGUAUCAUUCCCUAAAUGUGCUUGUUGCAACUCCACCGUCUCUUAUUGUUGUAUAAUAUCAAAAGAUUGUUAAAAUAAUUAACAUUUAUUAAAAUAAUAUAUUGGCAUUAUAAGUAAUAUAUCUUACAUAUCGCGACUCGGCUAGUUAGUCAUCGCAUCAUAUGAGAAAAAAUACAUCCAAUAUUUAAUGAACACUAAAAAAUGAAAUAACACCAUAGGACAAUGAAAAAGCUUUUGCUUUAGCUUCAGGGUAACAUUUAAAAGACAUAUUUUAAGAGACAUUAAUUUUUCCAGAUGUGCCGGUUUCCAGUAAUGAUAAACAGCAAAAAUCAGUUUAUAUAGAAGUACCAACAUUCUUGUAAAAUAUUCGGAAUGUAGGCAAAAAGGUGAUUGAUGUUUCACCCGAACAAUAUAAAUUCUUACAAUUUCUAAUGGAAGAUGAUAAUGACAUCAUUUCUACUCCUCAUCAUCAUCAUCUUUAAUACUUGCAAAUGUAACUCCAUUAAUCAUUCCUAGAUAUCCUAAGUGCUUCAGAGAAUUCAUGCACCGAACAUUCUUAUGAAAGCAAUCCCAAUUGACAAUUACAUAAGUGAUCUCCUAUUAAGAGUAUCAUUACACCACACUUAGUUUGUUUAUGUAAGCUAUAUAGAUAAUUAAAACUUUAACUAAUCAUAAACAAUUGUUAGAUAGCACAUUUCUUAUCAUAAAAUGGAUAUGAGCUAUAUUUCAAGCGCUCAUUGAUUUUUUAUAAGUUGGUUAUCCCAUUGAAUUAACAUCUUGGGAUUUUCAAUCAACAAUGUUGGGUUAUCAUUAUUGAAAUUCUUACAUAGUCGGCUUUAAAAUAAUUCUCCUCAAUAUACAGUAUACUUAAUCUCUUGGUAAACUUUUAAAAGUGGAUCCACAUUAUUACACCAUGUGAGAUCAAUUAUUUUAUUAUAGUAUGUCUUUGAUAUAUUUGUUGAUACUAACAUAAUACAAUAAAUUUAUAUCUUAGUAAAAGCAGCUAGCUAUCACAAUGAAUUUAUGGAUAAUAGACAUAAGUUGCCGAUUAAGAAUUCCGACCCCAAUUUUUGAAAUAACGUGCUUAUUUCUAGCUUUAUUUAAAGCUCUAACUCGACCUACAAAUACACAACAUAUUUGGAGAAUUUCUAAUACACGAAAUCAUUGUGAAACAUAAUUUUUUUGAAUCCUUGGUCUAGAUAUUCAAUAACCAUUGAAUCCAUUACGAUGCAUUUCAUCCCUUGAAUACUCUUCAUACAUUUCAAUAAUAUUAUUUCCUAUCCAAUAUAAAUAUAAUAAUUGAUUUUAAUUCUCAUUUUAAGCACUUUUGAAUUAGGGAACGUCACCUUUGUGAAUCCUCCUCAUACUUUUAAAAUUAAUAAAGGAUUUUCUACUUUUCCAUUUUCAUAGAAAUUUUCUCAUGAGUUAUUAAAAAUGUAACUUAUAAACAAUGAUAUCCCGUAACUCCUUAGAUGUGAAUUUAAUUUGCUAGUAAUGCUAUUCUCUUUUCAACCGUUUCAUUAUAAUUUUGUUGAGUGAAUUUCUAACUCAUGCUUACAUUGCCUUUAAUUGGGCCAAUAAUUGAACCCAAACGUUCACGUUGAUUUAUUUACUUCUUCGUGCCCAUAUCUUUGUAUUUCGUCAUCAUCAAAUAAGAAAUUUUACUCUCAUUCUUGCUUGCUUUCCUUCUCACUAAUGGAUAUUUUAUUAUUAACAUGGGAAAAAAACAUAUAUCAACCCUUAAGUACCCCCAUUUAAUUCAUAGUAAAGGGCAUGAUGAGUAACGUAAAGGAGGUAAUUAUAUUACAAAUAAACCUUUUCAAUUUCCAAUGAAUGAACCAUACGGAAUUUAUCAUGCGGGAUAUGUAAAGAUUUUUUGGGCACUUCCUGGAAAUGAAAAAUGGAGACUCAUUAACUCAGCGAUGAAAUCUUCAUUAAUUUGAGAAUAAAUUGGCGUGAUAGUGGAGGAAACGGGCACAAAAUGUACUUAAGCGUGAAUCCGCAUUAAAUUCAUCAUGUAACCUGCUUCACCUUUUCCAAUUCCUAAACCUUUAUAACCACAUUUCCACCCCCAUUGCACUGUAUCGAAGAAAAUUUGUUCCAUAGACAUAGAUGAUGAUGUAUUGGGGUCCGGUUUUCGGGGCCGUUGUGCUGUUCGUUCUGUUGUCGCCGGGUCUGCUGAUUCAGAUUCCGGGUGGUAACUGGUACUUUGAGUUUGGAAACUUCAAGACUAGUGUGGUAUCCAUACUGGUUCAUUCUAUUAUAUAUUUUGGUUUCAUUUGCGUUUUCCUGUUGGCUAUUGGUGUUCAUAUGUAGAUGGGCUGAUUUUUAUCAAUUGAAUAAUGUACUCGGAUUUCAAAGGAAUUGAAUUCUAUUUUCGAUUACCAAAUUUUUGUGCUCGAUUUUUCGUUUUAAUUGAAUCGAAUUGCUCGUUGGAGCUUAAUAAACUUUAAUAGCAUAUUAAGACUAGAGUUUCAAGUUAAAAUGUUAAUUUUAUUAAGAGGAUUAAUCGAGACAUUUAAAUUUGUUCUAUACUUUCAUUUCUAUUCGAUGCGAAAUUUUAUCCACACUUUUGUCAAACAGUUUCUGCGAUCUCGUGUAAUUAUUCUAAAAGUGUAUGCUCUAAUGUUAUUAGAAGAUAUGUUGAAAGUGGCAAUUAGAUUUUGAAAGUACUAAGAGUUCAUCAGUCUCGACAAAGUUCUAAUUUUGACACCAUUCUUUAACAAAAUUCACUUUUUUUUUUCUUUUUUUUCUUUUUCUUUUUUUUUAACAUCAGAACAUCCACUUUUGUAAGUCAUUCAUUUUUCCUCUUAUUUUUUUUAAGCUAAAGGGAAUUAAAGGUUAAAAUAGAAAAACCUUUUAUUAAUACUCAAAAAUAAGUCUUAACCGUUAGCACAUGUAGAAAAUAAAUACACCCUCGACCUUUAAAAUCAGUCUUUUCAGUUCUUAACCUUAAAUUUUUAUUUGCAUAGUUCAUAGUUGGUCCAUUUCACAUAAUCCCAUCAAUUUAUUCUUUAUUACUUUGCCCCAUCCCACCAUUAAAGACUGAAAAAAAAUAAUAAAAAUAAAAUUGGAUUAAUGAUGCGAAUGAUAAUUAUCAUAAUUAUUUUAUUAUUUAAUGACAUCAUUUUCAUUAUAUAUAAAAUAAUUUAUUCUUUAUUGUUUUUCCUCCCCCUCCAAACCCAAAAUAAAGGUUGAACUAAAUGAAGUAUUAUUUUAGUUAAUGAUAAUUUCUAUAACUAUUUUAUUGUGUAAUAAAAUGAUUUUCAUUGUAUUUGAGAGGAAGUUGAAGUCGCCGGCUCAAUUAAUGGUUAGCAGUUGAACCUUAGACUCAUUGAGUUGGUGACCCGCCCUUUCCUUUAGGUCACUGCUCAAGUUGAAUAUGAAACUAUGCUUAAAGAUGCUACAUCUUUAAUAUUUAAAUGAGAUUCAAGUUGGGAUACAAUGCAAGUAAAAGAGUCAUUUUCUAUUGCGGCAAUACAAAUUUUUUUACAAGAGGAAUUAUUAUAUAUAAAUUGAUGAAUUCCUCUGACUAGAAAGAAACAUAAUCUUCAGAAAAUCCAGGAUCUAAUUUUGAUAAGACUGUCGAAAAUUAUAAAAUUAAAAUCACAAAAAUAAAAUAAAAUAAAUAAAUAAAAUUGUAAUGUGAUGCAAGUUUAUUUACAAUUAAUGUGGCCCCACGACGGCUGUGGACAUAAGUCUCAACGGCCCCGCCUUCAAAUGUGGGCUAGCCUAUGUCUCAGCCGGUAGUGUACGUGUACAAAGCCGGUAGUGUAGAUAAUCCUAACGCUAGGAAACUUGAUCACAUUCACGUGACUGAUGUCGCAAUUUUGAAAGUGAAAAACUGUGGGAGGUGAGAGAAACCAUUAAAACAAUAAUUGAUUGCUGUAUUUUCAGAUGUGAUAAUAUCCUAAAUUAUUCCAAAAUAUUUCUAAAUUUAAGUCACAAUAUGUUAAAAUUGGGUUGUGACCCGAAUUCUUUUUUGAAGGUACAUUUGGAGUUGAUUGAUUUGCUUUGGAGGAGUAGAAGACUACGAAAAGUCAAACAAUGAUUUGGACUCCUGUUUCAACUCAAAUGCUCCAUUAUUGGUUUUACUUAUUAUAAUAAGGCUUCACCAUAUAUUAGACUUUUCAUUGUUUUAUAUUUCUUAGUUUGUUAGGAUUUAUUUGAUUAUAAAUAUGUGGUGUACAACACAUAUUGAAAUCGAGCAAUUGUCCAACGUAUUAGUUUGGUCCCGAUAGAUCCUUUAUAAUACUCCAUUAUUGAUUAUUAGUGAAUUAUUCAUCUCUGGCCAUGAUUUUUUCGGUCUUGAAUUUUCACAUAAAUCUUGUGUUCAUGUUUGAUAUAAUUUUCAUAUCACAUCUUAUUUCUCGUCUUUAAUUCUUAACAAGUGAUUUCGGAGCGAUAUACAAUUCUUAACAAUUGGCUCAACUUCUUAGUACAAUCUAUUAUAUUAAGGAAAUACAAAUAUGAUUUACCUUCCUGAUUUUUGAAUUUUAUUUUUUUUACAAAUUUGUUAUAAGCUAUGGUUUAGUCUAAUUUUUUAAAGAGAAAACUAUUAAUCCUUACGUUUUAACUUUUCACCAUAUUUUUUUAACAAUCAAGUCUUAAACUUAUAUUUCCAUAAAUCAUGGAUUCAAAAUAACAAACUUAUCCUUUUGUGGUAUAAGGACUUUGACCACAUCUCUUCCAAAUGCCUUAGUCGAGCUUUAAUCAUUGAAGAAUGAAAGAAUGUAAUAGAUUAGCCAUUAGAAAAUGUAGUCUAUAAGCCUAAACUUGAAGCUUCUGAUGAUUAAGAUGACAGUGAGGAACCUCCUUAGGUGGCAUACGAACUCUUCCUAAGAAUCUAGAUACUAUAUCUUUUGUUCUUGACACCUCUCGAUUACGUGUUGUAUGUCGAACCUUACCCCACCCAAAGAGGCUGAUGAUUUCAUUAGUCACUUUUGGAAAACCCACUUUGAUGUAGGACCAAUGGAAAAUUCAGCAGAUAAAUUAUAAGCAACAAAAAAUAAGUAGAGAUGAUGUGAUCCAAGAUGCAGGAGUCACGAAGGCAAGUUCGAAUUAAGACUCAUUGAUUAUCGAAGCAGGCCCGAUGAUGUGAUCGAGAGCGAAAUGAGUUAAACAGGUAAUGGGGAUGCUCGUCAAUGCCACUAUUAUGGCACCAUGUUUGGGACGCAAAAUGGAGCAAGUUUUAUGUUGGGGUCAAAGGCUGAAGAGCUGUGGAUCAACGUGAUAAAGAUGGACCAUAUGGAAAACAAGUAGUGUGGAUUCAAAUGGGCAUAACUUUUAGCUCAAGUGUCGAAUUUUCGCCCAUGAGUACCAUUCGAAAUCGUCACGAAAUUUUGCACAAAGAGUAGGAGGUUUUCAAAAAAUAACUAUGCAACCGCAAAGCUUAAAAGCCAUGUGACCGCAUAGGCUGUUACCGAAACAAAAUUGAGGCUGAUUAUUUGUCCUAUGCGACUGCAUUUAUUUAUACUAUGCGACCGCAUAGUACAAAUUUUCGGAUGCAUUUUCAAUUUUUGGUAACUUAUCUAGUUUCCAUAAAACUUGAUUCUAAUUAUUAUUUUUCGGUAUUUGAAGCAUAAUUUCCAUCCAAGACAAUAUUUUUGGGGGUUGGUAUAAAUAAUUUCUCAUAUUGAUUGUAAGAACAACUUCUGAUAUUAUUGAGAAUUAAUUUGAGCUGCAAUUCUUGCUUUCCAAUCUUUGAUUUUCUUAGAACAAUUGUUGAGCUUAUCAAGGUGCUUCCUUGUGGCAUUCAAAAUCUGAGUGUGAGUCUUUGGUUGUGUGAUCAAGAGGUUCAUCAUAUUAUUGCUAUUGUGGGCUUCCUUGGUUUGUCAUCUUGGGAUUCAAAUCCAUAAACCGGGGUUAAUUCUUGGCUUUCCUGGGGUUUAACAAUCUUUUGCAGGUUCGUUAGUGAUCGUGCUAACCGGGUUCCCAUCAAUUGGUAUCAGAGCACAUGCUCCAAAUUAAUCGAGGUUAUACCUUUUAUUAUCUUUGAGUCUUUAUAUCUUGUUCUUUCUAUUUUCCGCGUUAUUCUUUUGUGUCCUACAUUAUUGAGUCUCUGAUUUCUUAUCCUUAUUUCGUGUCUUGUUAUUGUUGGUAUUUGAUUCCUAAUCUCCAUGAGUCAAUCAAUAAUUCGUCAAGACUUGCUUAUUUUGCUAGUAGUUAGUUAAUCUUCUCGCACUAAAAAAAAAUGACGAAACAAAAGAGAAAUUAAAAAAAAAUUGUUGUGCUUUUAUUGUUUAAUUUAGUCUAAGCAUGUUCACAAGUUUCUUUGAGUCAUGUUUGUGUCGAUCCAUAAAUUUCAUUUAUCAAUUCGUGAAUCUUGGUAGCUUUCCAUUCAAAUUUUCAUUCCCAUUGUGUCAAAUUCCUAUUAUUAUCAUAACUCUUGAACGCAUCCGGUUUAGAAUCCACAAGGUUAAAUCUUGUUGAGUUCACUUUGUUCUUUGAGACACGUAGACGAAAGCAUUGAGUGAUAAAGGGCAGAGAGGUGAGAUCAAUAGAGGGUAAAAGUCUUACCAUGUGAUUCUGAGUGAAAUAUUAGUGAGGCAAAAAAAAUAAAUUAAAAGAAUUUAGAUUUAGGAUGUUUGAUAGGAAGGUUCCAAUUCUAGUCGUAACGGAAAUCACAUUGAUGCAUAGGAUGAUAUGAUGAGGCGAUUUGAGAGGUUCUUUAUCGAUAUGGAGGAUAGGUUAAAUAAGCUUGAUAGAGAAGUUACAAAACUUAGUAGGGGGCAACAGGCUGAAGUAUCUUACGCUAGGAGACCGGGUAGACGGGAGCCUAGGGUGGAAAGGCGGGAGGCGUAUGAUUACUAUAGUGAACCGAAUGAGGAUGAAUACAAUGAAAUUGAAAUGGGACGGGUGAGGAAUAGAAGUGAUAGGCUUGAACAACACGGAAGAAAUCAUCCUGGUGAUGCAUUAGAUGGCAAUCUAGGUAAUAUAAAAAUGACGAUUCCACAAUUUAGGGAUAGAAGUGACCCCGAAACAUAUUUGGAAUGGGAGAAAAAGGGGGAGUUAAUUUUUGAUUGCCAUAACUAUUCGAAAGAUAAGAAGGUAAAGAUUGCAGUGUUAGACUUCACUGAUUACGCCAUCACUUGGCAGGAUCAAGUGGUCACUUCAUGGCGUCGGAAUCGGGAGAGGCCUAUUAAUACUUGGGACGAAUUGAAGGUGGGGAUGAGGAAGUGAUUUGUGCUUGAUCAUUAUUAUAGGGAACUCUAUCAAAAAUUGCAAAGUUUGUAUCAGGGGUCAAACAGCAUAGAAGAUUAUCAUAAGGGGAUGGAGAUCUUGAUGAUUAGGGCGAAUGUGGAGGAAGAUCGGGAGGCUGCCAUGGCUAGGUUCUUGAAUGGGUUGAAUAAAGAGAUUGCUAAUGUGGUUUUCCAUUUAGGCCGAACCUAAACUUGUCCUCGAGAGAUAGCUGUCCAUACACUUAUAAGGGAUGUGCGGAUUCUCGAGAAGAGAAGAGCCGUGGUGGUCCGCCUCGGAUCUCUCGGAUCCCACGAGUGAAUAUAAAGUUGGAUCUACAUUGGAUCUCACCAAAAUCACCCCAUCUAUCCUCCUGAGGAGAGGUUUGGUUUCAAACCCCGGUUCGAACAGGAGGAGUACGCCAUGCUAAUGUGCCUUGGAUGAUCCACAUCUCCAGUUGAAGAGAAAGGAGACGAUGAGGCAGCCAGUGAAUACUUUGUCUUCUAACCCAAAUUAGAAGUUGAAGUGGGAUAACAAUAAAGGAAAUGGGGCAAUUUUAAGAAUAGGACUGAAUUACCAAAGGGAAAGGAGGAAAGUGCUAGCAAAACCAUACUCAAGACGGAUUCACAACAAUCAAGGAACAUAGAUAUUAAGUGUUUUAAGUGCUUGAGGUCAGGACACAUCGCUUUCAGUGUCCGAACAAAAGAGCGAUGGUGUUGAGGGACAAUGGAGAGGUGGUAAGCGAGAGUGAAAAUGAAUAUGAUGACAUGCCAGAGCUAGAGGAAAUUAACGAUGGGGAGAAAAUAGAAUAUGCUGUAGGAGAUUUGUUGGUCACAAGACAAGCCCUUAACGCUCAAAUCAAGGCGGAUGACUUGGAGCAACAGCGGGAGAAUAUAUUCCACACUCGAUGUCAUGUUAAUGAUAAGGUAUGUAGUUUAAUCAUCGACAGUGGGAGUUGUACAAAUGUGGCCAGCACAACUUUGAUGGAGAAAUUGGGAAUAACUUUAUUAAACACCCUAGACCUUAUAGGCUUCAAUGGUUAAAUGAUUGUGGAGAAGUCAAGGUAAAUAAGAGGGUUUUGAUAAAUUUCUCAAUUAGGAGUUAUCGUGAUGAAGUGGUAUGUGAUGUGGUACCUAUGCAUGCGUGACAUCUAUUUUUAGGGUGACCAUGGCAAUACGACAAAAAGGUUGUUCACGACGGGUACAAGAAUCGAUACAGCUUUGUCAAGGAUGGGAGGUCAAUUAUCCUUGUGCCAUUAAUACCGACAAAAGUGUAUGAAGACCAAAUUAAAUUGAAAAAUGAAGAAGAGAGGAGAGCAAGAGAGCUAGAGAAAAAAAGAGGGAAAACAAUGAAAUAAUGAGUAAGAGAGAAAAUAGUGAGGGGGCGAGUCAAGAGAAAAAGAGAAUGGAGCCCCAAGAGCGAAAAGAAAAAGAGUUUUCCGAGAUGAGAAACAAGUCAAAAGUGAAUUUCUUUACAAAAGAGAUUGAGCUGAGGAGAGCGACACUCAAGAGGAGGGAAAUGAUUUUGUUGGCCUACAAAGAGUCACCCUUAAGUUUUGAGGACUCUAACACAUCCUUCCCCAAUUUGGCUAAGUCUUUAUUACAGGAGUUCAAGGAUAUAUUUCCCGAAGACGUGCCUAGUGGGUUAAAAUUGAUUCAAGGCAUUGACCACUAGAUCGACUUCAUACCUAGAGCUAUCAUUCCAAACUGACCAGCUUACCGAAGCAAUCCUGAGGAGACAAAGGAGUUUCAGAGAGAAGUUGAGGAGUUGAUGAGCAAGGGUUAUGUUAGGGAGAGCAUAAGUCCAUGUACUGUACCAAUUCUGUUAGUGCCAACGAAAGAUGAAACAUGGAGGAUGUGCGUGGAUUACAGGGUCAUUAAUAACAUAACGGUGAAGCAUCGUCACCAUAUCUCUAGGUUAGAUAAUAUGCUUGAUGAAUUAUAUGGUGCAUGCAUAUUUAGUAAAAUUGAUCUUAACAGUGGUUACCACCAAAUUCGAAUGAGGGAAGGUGAUGAGUGGAAAAUUGCAUUUAAGACCAAAUGUAUGAGUGGUUGGUAAUGCCAUUUGGACUCACGAAUGCAUCGAGCACUUUCAUGCGUUUGAUGAAUCAUGUUUUGUGUGCUUUUAUAGAAAAAUUUGUCGUGGUGUAUUUUGAUGAUAUUCUAGUGUAUAGGAAAAACUUAAAUGAACAUGUAAAGUAUUUAAGAAAAGUGCCUUUGGUGUUAAUGAAAGAACAACUCUAUGCUAAUGUUAAGAAAUGUAUAUUUUGCAUGAAAAAGGUUGUCUUUCUAGGAUUUUUGGUUAGUACCAAUGGAGUAAAGGUUGAUGAGAAAAAGAUAAAAGCUAUUAAUGAGUGGCCCACACUAAGAGUAUAACCGAAGUAAGGAGUUUUCAUGGAUUGACUAGUUUCUAUAGGCGAUUUUUGAAAGAUUUUAGAACAAUUACCAUACCACUCAUUGAGAUAGUAAAGAAGAGGGUGGGUUUUCAUUGGGGUAGUGAGCAGGAGCAGGCAUUUAAUACAAGUAAAGAUCAAUUAUGUAAAGCAUCUAUUUUAGCGUUACCUAAUUUUGACAAAACGUUCGAGAUUGAGUAUGAUGCCUUAGAAAUUGGGAUUGGAAUAGUAUUAAUACAGGACAGGAGGCUAAUAGCUUAUUUCAGUGAGAAGCUGCGUGGAGCUGCUUUUAACUACCCUACAUAUGACAAGGUGUUGUACUCGCUUGUUCGAGCUUUAAAGAUUUGACAACAUUACUUGUGGCCUAAGGAGUUUGUAAUAGACACGCAUCAUGAGUCUCUCAAGCAUUUGCGGGGUUAAGGAAAGCUAAACAAGAGUCAUGCAACAUGAAUGGAAUUUAUAGAAACAUUUUCCUACGUCAUUCUCUAUAAGAAAGGUAAAGACAAUGUAGUGGAAGAUGCUGUGUCUCGCAAGUCUGUGUUGCUAACUUCUCUUAGUUCUAAAUUACUUGGUUUCGAGCACAUUAAAGAUAUGCAUGUGAAUGACAUGAUUUUUCUGAUGUGUAUAAAUCAUGUGAUAAGGGGGUUAUAGACAAGUUCUUCAAGCAUGAGGGGUACUUGUUUUGUGAAAAUAAAUUGUUUGUUCCUGAGUUUUCGAUGCGAGAAUUGCUAGUAAGGAAGGCACAUAGCGGUGGAUUGAUGUGACACUUUAAGGUUAAGAAAACUUUAGAAAUGUUAGGGGAGCACUUUUAUUGGCCUAAGAUGAAAACCGACCUUACACGGAUAUAUAGCCAAUGCAUAACUUGUAAGGGGGCUAAAUCUAAGGUUUUACCUCAAGGGUUGUACACACCGUUACCUACUCCUAGUGAACCUUGGGUUGAUAUUUCAAUGGAUUUUGUUUUGGGUUUACCUAGGACUAAGAAAGGACGGGACUCUAUUUUUUUAGUGGUAGAUUGGUUUAGUAAGAUGGCGCAUUUCAUAGCGUGUCAUAAAACUGAUGACACCACUCACAUAGCAGAUUUGUUCUUUAAAGAGAUAGUGCGUUUGCAUGGGGUCCCUAGGGGUAUCGUAUCAAACAGGGAUGUAAAAUUUUUGAGUCAUUUUUGGUGGGUUUUGUGGGGGGUAAAUAAGGCACAAAAUUGUUAUUCCACAACAUGUCACCCUCAAAUCGAUGGGCAAACUGAGGUAGUCAAUAGGACCGUGACUCAAUUAUUACGCACUGUGAUAAAUAAAAACUGAAGAGUUGGGAGGAGUGUCUACCUUUUGUUGAAUUUGCAUAUAAUGGAGCGGUACACUCCGCUACUUCAUUUUCACCUUUUGAAAUCAUUUACGGGUUUAACCUACUAAGUCCUUGGGAUUUGUUACAUUUACCUGUGAAUGAACGAGGUAGCUUAGAUGGUAAGAGAAAAUCUGAGUUGGUAAAGUCACUCCAUGAGAAGGUCAAGAUGCAAAUUGAAGAAAGGAGUAAGCUUAUUGCAUCAAAGGUGAAUAGGGAAAGAAAAUGGAUGACAUUUGAACUAGGUGAUUGGGUCUGGGUACAUUUUAGAAAUGAGCAUUUUCCAGAGCUGAGAAAGUCUAAAUUGCAGCGACGGGGAGAUGGUCCAUUUCAAGUCAUCGAAAAGAUCAACGAUAACUCAUACAAAGUUGAUCGUCCAGGUGAGUAUAAUAUUUCAGCUACAUUUAAUGUGUCUGAUCUCUCUCUUUUUUAUGCCGGUGCAGAUUCGACGACGAAUCCUUUUGAAGAGAGAGGGGAUGAUGUGAUCCAAGAUGCAGGAGUCAUGAAGGCAAGUAUGAAUCAAGACCCGUUGGUUAUCGAAAAAGGCCUGAUGACGCGAUCAAGCAAGAAAGGAGUUAAAGAGGCCAGGGGGAUGCUCGUCAAAGCCACUAUUGAUGGCACUAUGUUCGAGAUGCAAAAUGGAGCAAGUUUCAUGUUGGGUAGAAGGCUGAAGAGCAUUGGAUCAACGUGAUAAAGGUGGACGAUAUGGAAAACGAGCAGUGUGGAUUAAAAUGGGCAUAGCUUUUAGCUUGGGUGUUGAAUUUUGGCCCAUGAGUAUAAUUCGGAAUCAUCACGAAAGCCAUGCGACUGCAUAGGCUAUUACCGAAACAAAACUGAGUCUCACUAUUUGUUCUAUACGACUACGUUGAUUUAUACUAUGCGACCGCAUAGUACAAAUUUCUGGACGCAUUUUCAACUUUUAGUAAUUUAUCCAGUUUCCAUAAAAUUUGAUUCUAAUGGGUUUACAAGAAAAAGGUUGAUAUGGAUGAAAACGUCCAUACAUACCACGCAAGGCUAGUAACGAAGGGUUACACACAAAGACAAGGCGUUGACAUUGAUGAAACUUUUUCACCUGUAGCCAUGCUAAAGUCCAUUCGGAUUUUGCUUGCAAUAGCUGCAUACCAUGAUUAUGAGAUAUGGCAAAUGGAUGUCAAAACUGCUUUCCUUAAUGGAAACUUACAAGAGGAGGUGUACAUGACACAGCUUGAAGGUUUUGAAUCCAAAGGAGCCAACAAAGUAUGUAUGCUAAAUCGAUCCAUUUAUGAAUUAAAGCAAGCCUCUAGGAACUGGAAUCUUCGUUUUGAUGAGACAAUCAAAGGGUUUGAUUUUAUCAAAAAUGAAGAUGAACCGUGUAUUUACAAAAAGACAAGUGGGAGCGCGGUCAUAUUCCUAAUAUUAUAUGUCGAUGACAAAUUAUUAAUGGGAACGAUAUCCCAAUGCUUCAAUCAGUAAAAUUAUGGUUGUCAAAAAAUUUCUCCAUGAAAGAUAUGGGAGAGGCAGCGUAUAUCUUGGGAAUCAAGAUCUAUAGAAAUAGAUCUAAAAGAUUAAUAGGCCUAUCCCAAUCUUCGUACAUAGAUAAAAUCUUGAGAAGAUUUAAUAUGGAAGAGUCUAAAAGAGGUUUAUGUCUCAUGUCACAUGGGAUUUACCUCUCAAAAGAUAUGUGUCCUAAAACAUAUGAUGAAAGGAGUCGCAUGGAUAAGAUUCCUUAUGCUUCGGCGAUAGGAUCUAUCAUGUAUGCGAUGCUAUGUGUGAGAAGAGAUGUUUCAUAUGCUCUAAGUGGUACGAGCAUGUUUCAAGCAAACCCUGGUGAGAAACACUGGAUAGCGGUUAAGAACAUUCUUAUGUACUUGAGAAGGACUAAAGAUGUGUUCUUGAUCUAUGGAGGAAAUGAACUGAAAAUUCAUGGGUAUACUGAUGUCAGCUUUCAAACUGAAAAUGAUGAUAGAAAGUCUCAAUCAGGAUAUAUGUUUACUCUCAACAAUGGAGCGAUUAGUUGGAAAAGUUGCAAACAGGAGACAACCGCUGAUUCAACGACGGAAGCCGAGUACAUUGCUGCUUCUGAAGCAGUGACGAAAGCUGUAUGGAUCAAGAAGUUCGUUAAUGAACUUGGAGUCGUUCCUAGCAUUGUUGAUCCCAAACCUUUGUAUUGUGAUAACAAUGAAGCCGUCGCACAAGCGAAGGAACCCAGGUCUCAUCAACGAUCCAAACAUGUGCUAAGGCGAUAUCAUCUCAUCAGGGAGAUUAUACAAAGAAAUGACGUAACGAUAAAGCGAGUUCCCACAGAUGACAAUAUUGCAGAUCCACUGACAAAGUCGUUGUCACAACAGAAACAUGAUCUUUAUGUGGACGCUUAUGGAAUUAGAUACAUGAGUGAUUGGAUCUAGUGCAAGUGGGAGUUUGUAAGUGUUAUGCCCUAGAUCCAAUCGAUUUAGGUUGUAAACACUUUUAAUAUGUUUAAUGCAUUUAAUUUUGGCAAGAUCUAUUAUUUAUUUAAAUUAAUUUUGUGAUAAGCAAUAUUAAAUAAUAGAGUCCGAAGAUCCAAGUUUAAGUGAUUUGUUAAUCACAAGGAGUUGUGAUUGUAAAAUACAAAUUACGUAUGAUUGGAUCUUGAAUAAUCCAUGGUCGUAAGUAAUAACGAGAUACGGAUAUCGUUAUUACGGACUGACUAUCACGUGUGGCAUUUUUUACUUGUAAAAUAAGUAGCUGAUCUCACAAGUUAAAGUGUGGUGACACUUAAAUGAACACGUGGAUAUUUUGUUAUAGAAUAAAACAUUGGAGACUCGCUAAGAGAUUACACAUAGAUAAUUAUCUGAGUGUCAGUGGUUAAUCUCUAACGUUCGGUAGUGGAAUUUGUCCUGUGACCUAUCAUAGUGCCUUGUAUGAGGACAGUCAUGCUUUGAUGGUGUUGAAUGUUGCUUUACCAAGAGCCACUAAUACGACAUUGUUCGGGUAUGUGAAGAACCAUAUAAAGGUUGUGAAUGACCAAUAGAGAAUUCGUCACUCUUAGAUAAUAAGAGAUUAUGAUCUGCAUUUCGUUCAAUUAAGUCAAUAACGAAAUCCUUGGCCAAGGCGUACACAUAAGUCGAAAAAGAGUUUUCGACUCAUAUUGACUUAAUAGUAGAAUGAAAGAUAUGAUCGAUAGUCAAGAUUGACACACUUCCAUAUCUCGUAGUUGAUCGGAUCAUAUUGACAAAGGGAUUAUAGUUUCAAUAGAGGGUAAAAGUCUUACCGUGUGAUUUUGAGUGAAAUAUUAGUGGGGCAAAAAAAAAUUAAAAGAAUUUAGAUUUAGGAUGUUUGAUAGGAAGGUUCCAAUUCCAGUCGUAACAGAAAUCACAUUGAUGUAUAGGAUGAUAUGAUGAGGCGAUUUGAGAGGUUCUUUAUGGAUAUGGGGGAUAGGUUAAAUAUGCUUUAUACAUCGGUUACAAAACUUAGAAGGGGGCAACAGGCUGAAGUACCUUACGCUAGGAGACCGGGUAGACGGGAGCCUAGGGUGGAAAGGCGGGAGGCGUAUGAUUACUAUAGUGAACCGGAUGAGGAUGAAUACAAUGAAAUUGAAAUGGGACGGACGAGGAAUAGAAGUGAUAGGCUUGAACAACAGGGAAGAAAUAAUCCUGGUGAUGCAUUAGAUGGCAAUCUAGGUAAUAUAAAUAUGACGAUUCCACAAUGUAGGGAUAGAAGUGACCCCAAAACAUAUUUGGAAUGGGAGAAAAAUGUGGAGUUAAUUUUUGAUUGCCAUAACUAUUCGAAGGAUAAGAAGGUAAAGAUUGCAGUGUUAGACUUCACUGAUUACGCCAUCACUUGGCAGGAUCAAGUGGUCACUUCAUGGCGUCGGGAUCGGGGGAGGCCUAUCAAUACUUGGGACGAAUUGAAGGUGGGGAUGAGGAAGCGAUUUGUGCUUGAUCAUUAUUAUAGGGAACUCUAUCAAAAAUUGCAAAGUUUGUAUCAGGGGUCGAAAAGCGUAGAAGAUUAUCAUAAGGGGAUGGAGAUCUUGAUGAUUAGGGAGAAUGUGGAGGAAGAUCGGGAGGCUGCCAUGGCUAGGUUCUUGAAUGGGUUGAAUAAAGAGAUUGCUAAUGUGGUUUCCCAUUGAGGCCAAACCUAAACUAGUCCUCGAGAGAUAGUUGUCCAUACACUUACAAGGAAUGUGUGGAUUCUCGAGAAGAGAAGAGUCGUGGUGGUCCCCCCCGGAUCUCUCGGAUCCCACGAGUGAAUCUAAAGUUGGAUCUACAUUGGUUCUCACCCAAAUCGCCCCAUCUAUCCUCCUGAGGAGAGGUUUGGUUUCAAACCCCGGUUCGAACAGAAAGAAUACGCCAUGCUAAUGUGCCUUGGAUGAUCUACAUCUCCAGUUGAAGAGAAAGGGAACGAUGAGGCAACCAGUGAAUACUUUGUCUUCUAACCUAAAUUAGAAGUUGAAGUGGGAUAACAAUAAAGGAAAUGGGGCAGUUUUAAGAAUAGGACUGAAUUACCAAAGGGAAAGGAGGAAAGUGCUAGCAAAACCAUACUCAAGACGGAUUCACAACAAUCAAGGAACAGAGAUAUUAAGUGUUUUAAGUGCUUGGGGUCAAGACACAUCGCUUUCAGUGUCCGAGCAAAAGAGCGAUGGUGUUGAGGGACAAUGGAGAGGUGGUAAGCGAGAGUGAAAAUGAAUAUGAAGAGAUGCCAGAGCUAGAGGAAAUUAACGAUGGGGAGAAAAUAGAAUAUGCUGUAGGAGAUUUGUUGGUCACAAGACGAGCCCUUAACGCUCAAAUCAAGGCGGAUGACUUGGAGCAACAGCGGGAGAAUAUAUUCCACACUCAAUGUCAUGUUAAUGAUAAGGUAUGUAGUUUAAUCAUCGACGAUGGGAGUUGUACAAAUGUGGCCAACACAACUUUGAUGGAGAAAUUGGGAAUAACUCUAUUAAACACCCUAGACUUUAUAGGCUUCAAUGGUUAAAUAAUUGUGGAGAAGUCAAGGUAAAUAAGAGGGUUUUGAUAAAUUUCUCAAUUAGGAGUUAUCGUGAUGAAGUGGUAUGUGAUGUGGUACCUAUGCAUGCGUGACAUCUAUUUUUAGGGUGACCAUGGCAAUACGACAGAAAGGUUGUUCACGAUGGGUACAAGAAUCGAUACAGCUUUGUCAAGGAUGGGAGGUCAAUUAUCCUUGUGCCAUUAACACCGACAGAAGUGUAUGAAGACCAAAUUAAAUUGAAAAAUGAAGAAGAGAGGAGAGCUAGAGAAAAAAGAGGAAAAACAAUGAAAUAAUGAGUAAGAGAGAAAAUAGUGAGGGGGCGAGUCAAGAGAAAAAAAGAAUGGAGCCCCAAGAGCGAAAAGAAAAAGAGUUUUCUGAGAUGAGAAAAAAGUCAAAAGUGAAUUUCUUUACAAAAGAGAUUGAGCUGAGGAGAGCUACAGUCAAGAGGAGGGAAAUGAUUUUGUUGGCCUACAAAGAGUCACCCCUCAUUUUUGAGGACUCUAACACAUCCUUCCCCAAUUUGGCUAAGUCUUUAUUACAGGAGUUCAAGGAUAUAUUUCCCGAAGACGUGCCUAGUGGGUUAAAAUUGAUUCAAGGUAUUGAGCACAAGAUCGACUUCAUACCUAAAGCUAUCAUUCCAAACAGACCAACUUACCGAAGCAAUCCUGAGGAGACAAAUGAGCUUCGGAGAGAAGUUGAGGAGUUGAUGAGCAAGAGUUAUGUCAGGGAGAGCAUGAGUCCAUGUACUGUACCAGUUCUGUUAGUGCCAAAGAAAGAUGGAACAUGGAGGAUGUGCGUGGAUUACAGAGUCAUUAAUAACAUAACAGUGAAGCAUCGUCACCAUAUCUCUAGGUUAGAUGAUAUGCUUGAUGAAUUAUAUGGUGCAUGCAUAUUUAGUAAAAUUGAUCUUAACAGUGGUUACCACCAAAUUCGAAUGAGGGAAGGUGAUGAGUGGAAAAUUGCAUUUAAGACCAAAUGUAUGAGUGGUUGGUAAUGCCAUUUGGACUCACGAAUGCAUCGAGCACUUUCAUGCGUUUGAUGAAUCAUGUUUUGUGUGCUUUUAUAGAAAAAUUUGUCGUGGUGUAUUUUGAUGAUAUUUUAGUGUAUAGCAAAAACUUAAAUGAGCAUGUAAAGUAUUUAAGAAAAGUGCUUUUGUUAUUAAUGAAAGAACAACUGUAUGCUAAUUUUAAGAAAUGUAUAUUUUGCAUGAAAAAGGUUGUCUUUCUAGGACUUGUGGUUAGUACCAAUGGAGUAAAGGUCGAUGAGAAAAAGAUAAAAGCUAUUAAGGAGUGGCCUACACUAAGUGUAUAACCGAAGUAAGGCAUUUUCAUGGGUUGACUAGUUUCUAUAGGCGAUUUGUGAAAGAUUUUAGCACAAUUACCAUACCACUCACUGAGGUAGUAAAGAAGAGCGUGGGUUUUCAUUGGGGUAGUGAGCAGGAGCAGGCAUUUAUUACAAUUAAAGAUCAAUUAUGUAAAGCAUCUAUUUUUGUGUUACCUAAUUUUGACAAAACGUUCGAGAUUGAGUAUGAUGCCUUAGAAAUAGGGAUUGGAAUAGUAUUGAUGCAGGACAGGAGGCUGAUAGCUUAUUUCAGUGAGAAGCUGAGUAGAGCUGCUCUUAACUACCCUACGUAUGACAAGGUGUUGUACUCUCUUGUUUGAGCUUUAGAGAUUUGGCAACAUUACUUGUGGCCUAAGGAGUUUGUAAUAGACACGCAUCAUGAGUCUCUCAAGCAUUUGCAGGGUUAAGGAAAGCUGAACAAGAGGCAUGCAACGUGAAUGGAAUUUAUAGAAACAUUUUCCUACGUCAUUCUCUAUAAGAAAGGUAAAGACAAUGUAGUGGAAGAUGCUGUGUCUCGCAGGUCUGUGUUGCUAACUUCUCUUAGUUCCAAAUUACUUGGUUUCGAGCACAUUAAAGAUAUGCAUGUGAAUGACAUGAUUUUUCUGAUGUGUAUAAAUCAUGUGAUAAAGGGGUUAUAGACAAGUUCUUCAAGCAUGAGGGGUACUUGUUUUGUGAAAAUAAAUCGUUUGUUCCUGAGUUUUCGAUGCGAGAAUCGCUAGUAAGGAAGGCACAUAGCGGUGGAUUGAUGUGACACUUUAAGGUUAAGAAAACUUUAGAAAUGUUAGGGGAGCACUUUUAUUGGCCUAAGAUGAAAACCGACCUUACACGGAUAUAUAGCCAAUGCAUAACUUGUAAGGGGGCUAAAUCUAAGGUUUUACCUCAAGGGUUGUACACACCGUUACCUACUCCUAGUGAACCUUGGGUUGAUAUUUCAAUGGAUUUUGUUUUGGGUUUACCUAGGACUAAGAAAGGACGGGACUUUAUUUUUGUAGUGGUAGAUAGGUUUAGUAAGAUGGCGCAUUUCAUAGCGCGUCAUAAAACUGAUGACACCACUCACAUAGCAGAUUUAUUCUUUAAAGAGAUAGUGUGUUUGCAUGGGGUCCCUAGGGGUAUCAUAUCAAGCAGGGAUGUAAAAUUUUUGAGUCAUUUUUGGUGGGUUUUGUGGGGGGUAAAUAAGGCACAAAAUUGUUAUUCCACAACAUGUCACCCUCAAAUCGAUGGGCAAACUGAGGUAGUCAAUAGGACCGUGACUCAAUUAUUACGCACUGUAAUAGAUAAAAACUGAAGAGUUUGGAGGAGUGUCUACCUUUUGUUGAAUUUGCAUAUAAUGGAGCUGUACACUCUGCUACUUCGUUUUUACCUUUUGAAAUCAUUUACGGGUUUAACCUACUAACUCCUUGGGAUUUGUUACAUUUACUUGUGAAUGAACGAGGUAGCUUAGAUGGUAAGAGAAAAUCUGAGUUGGUAAAGUCACUCCAUGAGAAGGUCAAGAUGCAAAUUGAAGAAAGGAGUAAGCUUAUUGCAUCAAAGGUGAACAGGGAAAGAAAAUGCAUGACAUUUGAACUACGUGAUUGGGUCUGGGUACAUUUUAGAAAAGAGCAUUUUCCAGAACUGAGAAAGUCUAAAUUGCAGCGACGGGGAGAUGGUCCAUUUCAAGUCAUCGAAAAGAUCAACGAUAAUUCAUACAAAGUUGAUCGUCCAGUUGAGUAUAAUAUUUCAGCUACAUUUAAUGUGUCUGAUCUCUCUCUUUUUUAUGUCGGUGCAGAUUCGACGACGAAUCCUUUUGAAGAGAGAGGGGAUGAUGUGAUCCAAGAUGCAGGAGUCACGAAGGCAAGUAUGAAUCAAGACCCGUUGGUUAUCGAAAAAGGCCUGAUGAUGCGAUCAAGCAUGAAAUGAGUUAAAGAGGCCAUGGGGAUGCUCGUCAAAGCCACUAUUGAUGGCACUAUGUUCGGGAUGCAAAAUGGAGCAAGUUUCAUGUUGGGUAGAAGGCUGAAGAGCAUUGGAUCAACGUGAUAAAGGUGGACGAUGUGGAAAAUGAGCAGUGUGGAUUAAAAUGGGCAUAACUUUUAGCUUGGGUGUCGGAUUUUACUCCAUGAGUAUAAUUAGGAAUCAUCACGAAAGCCAUGCGACUGCAUAGGCUAUUACCGAAACAAAACUGAGUCUCACUAUUUGUUAUAUGUGACUACGUUGAUUUAUACUAUGCGACCGCAGGGUACAAAUUUCUGGACGCAUUUUCAACUUUUAGUAACUUAUCCAGUUUCCAUAAAAUUUGAUUCUAAUGGGUUUGCAAGAAAAAGGUUGAUGUGGCCAUAAACGUCCAUACAUACCACACAAGGCUAGUAGUGAAGGGUUACACACAAAGACAAGGCGUUGACUUUGAUGAAACAUUUUCACCUACAACCAUGCUAAAGUCCAUUCGGAUUUUGCUUGCAAUAGCUGCAUACCAUGAUUAUGAGAUAUGGCAAAUGGAUGUCACAACUGCUUUCCUUAAUGGAAACUUACAAGAGGAGGUGUACAUGACACAGCCUGAAGGUUUUGAAUCCAAAGGAGCCAACAAAUUAUGUAAGCUAAAUCGAUCCAUUUAUGAAUUAAAGAAGCCUCUAGGAACUGGAAUCUUCGUUUUGAUGAGACAAUCAAAGGGUUUGAUUUUAUCAAAAAUGAAGAUGAACCGUGUGUUUACAAGAAGACAAGUGGGAGCGCGGUCGUAUUCCUAAUAUUAUAUGUCGAUGACAAAUUAUUAAUGGGGAACGACAUCCCAGUGCUUCAAUCGGUAAAAUUAUGGUUGUCAAAAAAUUUCUCCAUGAAAGAUAUGGGAGAGGCAGCGUAUAUCUUGGGAAUCAAGAUAUAUAGAGAUAGAUCUAAAAGAUUACGAGGCCUAUCCCAAUCUUCGUACAUAGAUAAAAUCUUGAGAAGAUUUAAUAUGAAAGAGUCUAAAAGAGGUUUAUGUCUCAUGUCACAUGGGAUUUACCUCUCAAAAGAUAUGUUUCCUAAAACACAUGAUGAAAGGAGUUGCAUGGAUAAGAUUCCUUAUGCUUCGGCGAUAGGAUCUAUCAUGUAUGCGAUGCUAUGUACGAGAAGAGAUGUUUUAUAUGCUCUAAGUGGUACGAGCAUGUUUCAAGCAAACCCUGGUGAGAAACAAUGGAUAGUGGUUAAGAACAUUCUUAAGUACUUGAGAAGGACUAAAGAUGUGUUCUUGAUCUAUGGAGGGAAUGAACUGAAAAUUCAUGGGUAUAUUGAUGCCAGCUUUCAAACUGAAAAAGAUGAUAGAAAGUCUCAAUCAGGAUAUAUGUUUACUCUCAACAAUGGAGCGGUUAGUUGGAAAAGUUCCAAACAGGAGACAACCGCUGAUUCAACGACGGAAGUCGAGUACAUUGCUGCUUCUGAAGCAGCGACGAAAGCUGUAUGGAUCAAGAAGUUCAUUAAUGAACUUGGAGUCGUUCCUAACAUUGUUGAUCCCAUACCUUUGUAUUGUGAUAACAAUAGAGCCAUCGCACAAGCGAAGGAACCCAGGUCUCAUCAACGAUCCAAACAUGUGCUAAGGCGAUAUUAUCUCAUCAGGGAGAUUAUACAAAGAAAUGAAGUAAUGAUAAAGCGAGUUCCCACAGAUGACAAUAUUGCAGAUCCACUGACAAAGUUGUUGUCACAACAGAAACAUGAUCGUCAUGUGGACGCUUAUGAUAUUAGAUACAUGAGUGAUUGAAUCUAGUGCAAGUGGGAGUUUGUAAGUGUUAUGCCCUAGAUCCAAUCGAUUUAUGUUGUAAACACUUUUAAUAUGUUUAAUGCAUUUAAUUUUGGCAAAAUCUAUUAUUUAUUUAAAUUAAUUUUGUGAUAAGUAAUAUUAAAUAAUAGAGUCUGAAGAUCCAAGUUUAAGUGAUUUGUUAAUCACAAGGAGUUGUGAUUGUGAGAUACAAAUUACAUAUGAUUAAAUCUUGAAUAAUCCAUGGUCGUAAGUAAUAACGAGAUACGGAUAUCGUUAUUACGGAUUGACUAUCACGUGUGGCAUUUCUUACUUGUAAAAUAAGUAGCUGAUCUCACAAGUUAAAGUGUGGUGACACUUAAAUGAACACGUGGAUGUUUUGUUAUAGAAUAAAACAUUGGAGACCCGCUAAGAGAUUCCACAUAGAUAACUAUCUGAGUGUCAGUGGUUAAUCUCUAACGUUCGGUAGUGGAAUUUGUCCUGUGACCUGAGGUCAUCAUAGUGCUUUGUAUGAGGAUAGUCAUGCUUUGACGGUGUUGAAUGUUGCUCUACCAAGAGCCACUAAUACGACAUUGUUCGGGUAUGUGAAGAACCAUAUGAAAGUUGUGAAUGACCAAUAGAGGAUUCAUCACUCUUAGAUAGUAAGAGAUUAUGAUCUGCAUUUCGUUCAAUUAAGUUAAUAACGAAAUCCUUGGCCAAGGCAUAUACAUAAGUCGAAAAGGAGUUUUCAACUCAUAUUGACUUAAGAAUGAAAGAUAUCAUCGAUAGUCGAGAUUGACACACUUCCAUAUCUCGUAGUUGAUCGGAUCAUAUUGACGAAAGGAUUAUAGUUUCAUGGUAAACGAACAGUUUUGGUUUUGUCAUACCACAUGACAUUUCCCGUCACAUGUGUUGCCGUGAUACAUUGCUAGAUGUCAAUCUGGGACGACGAGUGUGAAUUUGUGAUAAAUUAAAAGAGUGUUUAAUUUAUCAAUUUUGAUUAGAUCAAAAUAAUAUUUCACGUCGUUAGGUAUCGUGGUCGGGAACCUAAUGGGUCGCACACAAAAGAGAAUUGGAAGAUUGCAAAUUGGAUUAGUUAUUUAUAACCCCAAAUUAAUUAAUUAAAGGACCUAAUUUAAUUAAAUGGAUUAAUUAAUUAAAGGACCGGACCGGGCCGAGCCCGUUUGGGCUUAUAUAGAUACAUGGCUAGGGUUUAAGGUCCAUGUUGUUUUUCAUAAUUCUUGCUGGCACAAGUGGAAAAAACCGAGCAGUAGCAGUCUAUUCUCUAUGUGGAUUUCAUUGGAGGCUGGACAAUUGGACAGCUGUGGGAGGCAGAUUCAAGUUGCUGGAAAAGGGAUAACGCAAAUGAGUUUGCAAAAUCAAGAAAAAGGUAUAAUUCUCAUCACAGUUCUUAUCUAAAUACAAAGAUGAAUCCUAGUGGGAAUUGAAACUGUUUUAUUUUCGCUGCACAUGUUUAAGUAAAUUCCCAACAGUACCAACUAAGAGACAUUAAUUUUUCUAGAUGUGCCGGUUUCCAGUAAUAUUAAAUAGCAAAAUCAGUUUAUAUAGAAGUGCCAACAUUCUGGUAAAAAUAUUCGGAAUGUAGGCAAAAAAGGUAAUUGAUGUUUCUCCCGAACAAUAUAAAUUCUUACAAUUUCUAAUGGAAGAUGAUAAUAACAUCAUUUCUACUUAUCAUCAUCAUCAUCUUUAAUACUUGCAAAUGUAACUCCAUUAAUCGUUCCUAGAUAUCCUAAAUGCUUCAAAGAAUUCAUGCACUAAACAUUCUUAUGAAAGCAAUCCCAAUUCACAAUUACAUAAGUGAUCUCCUAUUCAGAGUACCAUUACACCACACUUAGUUUGUUUAUGUAAGCUAUAUGGAUAAUUAAAACUUUAACUAAUCAUAAACAAUUCUUAGAUAGCACAUUUCUUAUCAUAAAAUGGAUAUGAGUUAUAUUUCAAGUGCUCAUUGAUUUUUUAUAACUUGGUUAUCCCAUUGAACUAACAUCUUGGGAUUUUCAAUCAACACUGUUGGGUUAUCAUUAUUAAAAGAGAAAAUUGCAGCAUAGCCCCCAAACCUUUAAAAUAAUAGCAGACUUUCCCCAAACCUUUAAUUUGUUGCAACCGUCACCCCCAAACCUUUAAAAACGUUGCAGCAGAGGCCCUUUUUGACGAUUUUCAUCCAAAUAUCUGUUAGUUGACUAAGAAAUUGACUUUGACCAUAUUUUUAAUAUUUUUGAAAGAGUAACAUAGUAAAUUUCCAUUUAUUACAUUAAAAUAUGUUAGAAAUUAAAUUUUAAAAAAUAAGAAUAAGAAAAAAAAAAUCAUUGUCUUCUUCCCAAAUGAGCCACAGCAUCCAUGAAUCUCUUCUGCAGUUGAGGAAUCCAAAAAAGUCGUGGCUGCUUUAGGGUCCGAGCCAGCUCCUUCGACCCCAAUCCACCUCUGACACUGGCUACUACACCAUCACCACCCCUUCUCGACCCAAUCAACUCAACUGGGUUGAUUUCUGUGGAAGAGUUAGGUUGAGAAGAGUACGAUGUGGUCUGUGAUAGUGGCGGAGUGCUCUGAUGGGUGUGAUUUGGUAGUGGGUUUCGAAUAUGAAAGACUAGUGCAAGCUUAGGGGUUAUAGGGUUUGUGAUAAAGGCAUCAACUCUAUGAUGGCAAUUCCUCUUCCCAUUUUGCAAACCAAUUCGAAUGCCCCUCUCCCCCCGCAUUUUCCACUUAAUUUUUUUUUAAAUAGACAGUUUAUUGGGAAUCAAACUAUAUGUGUUGAUUUGUUUUUGAAGAUUUUGCCAAGAUAAAUAUAAAAAUUCAAAGUGGGAAGCAAAACCAUAAAUUAAAUGAAUUUGCAGAGAAAUUUUUCAAGAGAAAUUUCUUUUUUCUCCCUCUAUCAAGAAAGACGGUGGUGGCGACGCUGGUGGUCGAUUAUUGAAGUUGGAUUCGAGGUGGGGGUAGGGGUGGAGGUUGGGUGUGGUGGGUUUUGGGAAGAAGACGAUGGUUUUUUUGUUUCUUAUUCCUAUUUUUUUUAUUUAAUUUCUAACGUAUUUAAUGUAAUAAAUAGAAAUUUACCAUUUUACCCUUUCAAAAAUAUUAAAUAUGGUCAAAGUCAAUUUUUUAGUCAACUAACAGAUAUUUGGAUGAGAACUGUUAAAAAUUUCAUUUCUUCUUGUGUGGUCUCCUCCGUGCACGGAAUCCUCUUUCUUUUUUUCUUCUUUUUUAAAUAAAAGUUAAUACCUCUUUAUACUAUAUAAACUAACUACAAUGAUAUAUAUAUUUUUAAUUUUUAAAUUUUUAAUUUUUUUACAACUUGAAGCAAACUUUUUACUAUGUAAAGAAAUAUACUUAAAACUUUGAGUUAAUAUUUAAUCUAAAGUAAUAUUUAGAUAAAUUUAAUUUAAAAAAUUCAAUAUUACUAAAAAUAUUACUAUAAAAUUAAAUAUUGUCUGAAAUUAUUAGAUAUAUCCAACUACGAUGAUAUAGUUUUUUUUUUAGUUUUCUAUAUCUAUAAUAAUGAAAAAAAUUAAAAUCCAUGCACUCUAUACACACAAGAACACGUCGUUUUUGCUCCCCACUUAGAAAAAAAUGAAAUUUUAAAUAAUUGAAAAAAAAGUUACGCCAUACUGAAUAAUUUUUUUGAGUAAAAUGAUGUAUUGAGAAAAAUGUUGCGAAAAAAUAAUAAAUAGUAAUAAAAAAUUGAUUUUUUUAAGAAAAAAAUGACUUAUACGCAUUUUUUUAACACAUACAUUUAAUAUCCGUUCAACUAUUUUCGAUAUUUAUUUACAUCAUUAAAUGUCUCUACGAUAUAGUUCGCAAAAUGAGUUUCGAGAUAAUGUAAAACAUUUAUGAUUCGUACAAUUGUCGACGAAUUUUUAAAGUUAGCUUGUUAUCGAAAAUUUUGAAAUAAUAAUAAAAUAAUUGAUUUUUUUAAGAAAAACGAUUUAUGCGUAUUUUUUAACACAUACGUUUAAUGUCCAUUUAACUAUUUUUUAUUUUUUUAAAAUAUUUGUGUUGUUUACAUUAUAAAUUUUUUUUCAAUUUAAAAUUCUUUUCUCUUAAUAAUUCCAAACAGAAACUUAGAUUUGAGAAAAAAAAUUCUGUAGUUUUACGUCAUAAAUAAUAGUUUUGUCAAUUUAAAAUUCUUUUUAAAUUUUUUCUUCAAAUUUUUUAUUAUUAAUCAGUAUUUUUUAAUAGUUUGAGAUAAAAUUUAAUUUUCUAGUAAUAAUUCAAUAUAUAAAAUGAUGAAAAAAUAUAUAUUCACUCCGUGCAUGGAGAAAAAAAUUUCCGUCAUACCAUAUAAUUUUUUUGAGCAAAAUGAUGCAUUGAGAAAAUUGUUACAAAAAAAGAAUAAAUAGUAAUAAAAUAAUUGAUUUUUUUUAAAAAAAAACGACGUAUACGCAUUUUUAACACAUACGUUUAAUCUCCGUUUAACUAUUUUAGAUAUUUAUUUAGAUCAUCUGAUAUCUCUACGAUAUAGUUCUCAAAAUGAAUUUCAAGAGAAUGUAAAAAAUUUAUCAAUUCGACUAUCGUACAAUCGUCGACAAAUUUUUAAAGUUGGCUUGUUAUCGAAAAUUUCGAAAUAGUAAUAAAAUAAUUGAUUUUUUUAAGAAAAACGACUUAUGAGUAUUUUUCAACACAUACGUUUAAUGUCCGUUUAACUAUUUUCGAUAUCUAUUUAGAUCAUUCGAUAUCUCUACGAUAUAGUUCUCAAAAUGAGUUUCGAGAGAAUGUAAAACAUUUAUCGAUUCGACUAUCAUACAAUUUUCGAUGAAUUUUUAAAGUUAGCUUGUUAUCGAAAAUUUCGAAAUAAAGUUUGAAAAUGCCUACUUUGACGUCCCAUAACAUUUGCUACGAUUGACCGUUUCACGCACCGUUAACGACGUGCAAUACUAUGUUGCGAGUACUUCAAAACGAUAUUAAGAAUGUAAGAUUUCGACUUCGUUUGAUAUCCCGUAAUGAGCCUGAAAAUGAACACAAAAAUAUAAGUAAAAAAAAAUUCAUGGUUGCCGUGCACGGAGCCUUUGGGUCUCCGUGCACGAAGUAUCCGCACGGAGAGAUUUUUUUUUUUUUUUUUUUUUGCUUUGUAGUUUUACGUUAUAAUUUUUUUAUUUAAAAUUCUCUUUAAUUCUUUUCUCUUCAAUUUUUUUACCUACAAGUAAUAUGUCGUAAAAAAAUUUAUGUCGCAUAUUAUCUCUAUCUUUUUUUUUUAAUUAUACAAAAGUGAUUUUUUUCUUAUAUCUCUACUAUAUAUAUCUAUAUCAGAGUACAGGAGGAAUGGAAAUUGCGUGUUGCAGUAAAUUUGGAAGUAGUGUAUAAUAAAAUAAAAUAUAUAUCAUGCAAACAGCAUCGUUUUUGGGCCCCCCCCCCCAAAAAAAACAAAACAAAACAAAAAUGAUAUAGUAAAAAUGGAUCAAAACACUGUUACUUUCUACAGUGCCCUCACAUUCCCCUUUUUUAUAUAGUAGGGAAAUACUCUAUUUUUAAAAAAUGUAGGGGUAUUUAGCACCACAUGACAUAUAAAAAGUAAGAAUAUGAGUCACAUGUAAAAUGACAUAUCAAUAAACAUUACUUGUAUUAGAUAGCAUUCAUGUUUUAACACACACGGUCUUCUUUUCCUUCAAAUUCAGAAAAUAUUCCUCUUCAAAAUCAUUUUCUCCUUAAAAAUUCAACUUUUCUUUUUAAAUUUAAGGCCAUCUCUUCUCCGUAAUUGAUCUCCGAUGCACCCAAAGUUUUAACAUUUUUCACAACUAGCAACUAGUCGAAAACAAUUACUGAGCCAUUUAUUUAUUAGACACAUAUUAUAACACACGGAAUUUUUUUAAAUUCAUAUCUUAUUUAGAGUCCAAUAAUUAGAGUUUGAUAAAAAGCGAUGUAGUAUAUCGAUAUUGGACUCAUUUUAAAGCUUAUAAUUAGUAAGAACUAUUCGAAUCGAGAAAAAGUCUAUUUGGAUAAACCAGUACCAAAAUAUUGCAGUUUGAAGAAAUCUUAAAAUAUAACUUAUCAACUUAUAAAAAUGUGGAUGGAAAUGAGCUGCUGACACUGUUUUACUUAUUUGCAUAACGACAUUGAAAUCGUUCCGGAAAUAUAAAACGACUUCGAUAUCGUUUCAACAUCAAAUACACUCUGCUUAACUGAUUUGUAUGACGACAUUGAACUCGUUCCUAAAAUACUAAAAACGGUGUAUAUGUCAUUUUCGAUAACAAAUACACAUUGCUUUACUGUUUAAUAGGUUUAGGUGCAUGCCAUGGAAUAAGUAAACAACAUUUAUGUUAUUUCAAUACAAUUUUCGACGACAAUGAUAUCGUUCCCAUUCAAAUCAUAACUAUAAUGUCAUACAUAUCGUUUCAGGAAUGGUUACACUAGAACGUUAUAACUACGAUAUUAAAUGUAAUUGAAAUUUACAUAUUUUCGUGACUUUUUAUAAUUUUCAAGUUUAUGUAUUGUACAUAUUCAGAAUAUGAACAUUGCGCAUAUUCAUGUAACGAUAUACACUUCGUUCCGGUGACACAUAAAGUAGUUGAUGUCGUUCUAGUAUGAAAUGCUCUUAUUCUAAUAACGACUUUGAAAUUUUCCUCGAGGCACAAAAUAAUAACUGGAACGACUUAUGUAUAGUUUCUUUUCAAAUUUAACGAGUUUGAAAUAUUUACAGUUCAAAUAAUAAUUAGAACGACAUAUGAUGAUCGAAAGAAGGCAUCAAGUGAAUUGAUAGCACUCGAAUGACUCAGAAAAAGCUGAUGGAGAUACCAUCUUUCUUUCUAUUGAAUGAGAUCGAACUUACUUAAUGACUUAUUUUGUCAUCCUAUGUAUGAUAAAUUUAUGUUAGAUGACUGUGGACGAUCGAAUCAUUGUUUUUAUAAUUAUCAUUUUAUAUAAAGUAAGACGAUAUAUAUAUAUAUAUAUCGUUUUAGUUAUGAUUUAAGUUAAAACGAUAUCAAUAUCGUCAAACUUGUAUUGAAAUGAUAAUGAUGUCAUUAUGUAUCAAAAUCACAAAUAAAGUAACGAAAUUCAUAUCAUUUUAGUAUAAAUUUGACGAGUUUAAAAUCGUUUCAGUUCAAAUAAUGACUAUAACGACAUAGAUAUCAUUUAUUUUCUUAUAAAACUUUAAUUAUAUUGUUUUGAUUAAAAAUAACGAUUCAACCAUCCAUUACCACUCAACACAUCUUUAACACACCUAGGACGAUCGAAAGAGGUUAUCAAGUGAGUCGAUGCUAUUUGAAUGGUUUAGAAAGAACGAACGAAGAUACUUCUUUCGGUCAGAAUAGUUUGAAUAUUGCAUACAAUCGUGGGAACAGAAAUAUUCUCAUAAUUUCUUUUGAGUGAGAUCGAACCCACUUGAUUACCUAUUUUACACAUCUUACAUAUGUCAGAUGCAUAUUUGGUGGUUGUGGAUGAUCGAAUCGUUGUUUUUAACAGAAACGAUAUAACUAUCGUUUUAUUUUAACUGCAACGAUAUGUAUGCAAUUUCAGUUAUGAUUAAGCUAAAAUGAUAUUAAUAUCGUCAAAUUUGUAUUGAAACGAUAAUGAUGUCAUUAUAUAUCAAACUCAAGAAUAAAAUAACGACAUUUAUAUCGUUUUAUUACAAAUUUGACAAAUUUAAAAUCGUUCCAAUUCAAAUAAUAACUAUAACGACAUAGAUAUCGUUUCUUUUUAUAUAAAACGUUAAUUAUAUCGUUUUGACUAAAAAUAAUGAUUCAACCGUCCACAACCACUCAACAUAUCUUUAACAUACCUAAGAUGGUCGAAAGAGAUCAUCAAGUGGGAUGAUGCCAUUCGAAUGGUUUAAAAAUAAUGAACGAAGAUACUUUUUUCUGUCAAAAUAGUUUGAAUGUUGUAUACAAUCAUGAGAAUAGAAAUAUUUCCAUAGAUUCUUUUGAGUGAAAUCGAACCCACUUGAUUACCUAUUUUGAGUAUUCUGCAUAUGUCAGAUGCAUGUCUGGUGGUUGUGGACGGUUGAAUCAUUAUUUUAGUUAAAACAAUAUAAUUGUCGUUUUAUUUUAACUGCGACGCUAUUUAUGUAGUUUUAAUUAUGAUUUAAGCUAAAACGAUAUGAACGUCAUCAAACUUGUAUUGAAACGAUAAUGAUGUCGUUAUGUAUCAAACUCACAAAUAAAGUAACGACAUUCAUAUCCUUUUAUUACAAGUUUGAAAUCGUUCUAAUUUAAAUCACAAGUAUAACGACAUAGAUAUCGUUUCUUUCAUAUAAAACGAUAAUUAUAUCAUUCUGGCUAAAAAUAACGAUUCGACCGUCUACAACCACCCAUCAUGUCUUCAACAUACGUAGGACGAUCGGAAGAGGUCAUCAAGUGGGUUGUACCACUCGAAUGACUUAAAAAAAACCGCGAACGAAGAUACUUGUUUCUGUAGGAAUAGUUCAAUGUUGUAUAUAAUCGUGGGAGCAAAAAUAUUCCCAUAAUUUCUUUUGAGUGAGAUUAAAUCCACUUGAUGACCUAUUUCAAUCAUUCCAUAUAUGUCGAAUACAUGUCAGGUGAUCGUGGACCGUCGAAUCGUUGUUUUUAGUGGAAACGAUAUACAUAUCUUUUUAUAUAAACUUAAACGAUAUAUACGUUGUUUUAUUUAUGAUUUAAACUGAAACGAUAUCGAUAUUGUCAAAAUUGUAUUGAAACGAUAAUUAUAUCAUUAUGUAACAAAUUACAAAAUAACAUUAUGAUGUCCAUAUUAUUUUAGUACAAAUUUGAUAUGUUUGAAAUCGUUCAAAUUCGAAUGAAAAAUACAACAUAAAUAUAUAAUGAUAUCAAUAUCAUUACCGCUUGAGAGCAAAUGAUCCCUUAAAAGCGAGUGCAACGACUCCUUAUUUCGCAUGCGCUAUGUAAGUUUUUUAUAUAAUGACAUCAUUGUCAUAUUAUUGGUCUAUAAUGACUGCAAUGUCAUUAUGAAAAUCAAUAAAGUGGCGUAUUUUUAUACUAGAACAACAUCACUUUCAUUUUGUGUCUCCGAACGAUUUCAAUAUUUUUAUGUAAAAUAGUGCAAUUUUUGUAUUGAAACAACAUCAAUAUCAUUUUAUUUUUCAGAAACAAUUUCAACGUCGUUAUAUGAAUCUAUGCAUUUUUCAUAUUGGAACAACAUAUGCGUCAACUAUAACGGUAUAAAAGUUGUUUGCCUGUAAUGUGAAAAAAUACAACAAUGUAAAAAGACUUUAACUUUAUUCUAAUAGCAUAAAAACGAGAAUAGCACAACGACUACAAAAUCUAAUAAAUCAUUUUGUGCUUCCAAUAAGUACAAAAUAAUAAAAUUACAAUUCACGACAAUAGCCCCAACUUUAAAUUUUAAUACCAGCUAUUUGACAUCUACAAGUGGAGCUAACAUGACUAAUUUUUUUUUUACAGUUGAAGCCUUAGACAUUAUAGGGACAAAAGUUGACAUCUCCAUUUGGUACAGCAUUGUAUCGACCUUUAACAUCUCUCUAACUUUAUACAAACUUACAUAAGAAAUUAUUUUUAAAACAAGAAUGACAGAUAUUUCCCCUUUGCCAUUCAUUGUAUUUUUUCAUUUUCAAACUAAUUGCUCAUGUUCAGCUAGAUAACAAAUUGAAUCUAUAAUAUAUCCAUGAUAGCCAUAAUUGCAAUUAACAUAAAAAUUGUAGAUUUUUUUUUUAUCAAAUAUCAAACUUCGUACAUUAUUGAUAACGAGAUUUAUGUCGUUAUGGUUUGUAGAAAACGACAUGUAAAACAUUCUGGACGGAAAAAAUGAAAUACAUGUUUCAUAGUAGAACAACAAAUAGAAUAACCAAACAUGUGUUUUCCUAAAUAUUCACUUAAAAAAAUAAGAGCUAAUGAGAAAUUGAGAAAGAAACCCAUAUCAAAGCUAUAAUUCGAUGAUAUAAAAAAACAAAAAUCAAAAAUCAAAGCCAUUACUAACAAAUAAACACCACAAACAUGAAUCACAACAUGUGGUUCAGAAAAAUUCAGAAACUUAGCCAAAAUAUUGAAAUUUAACAUUACAUUCUCUUCUUCUUCAAAUACCCAUCAAGAAUAUUAUAAACUUUCAUUACUUACUUCAACCAAGUGAGUGUUUAAGAGAAUGACAAUAAUAUAUUUUGAGAUUUCAUGAAAAAAAGAUGAUAAAAAAGAAAAAGAAUAGCAAAAAAAUGACCUAUCAAAUUGUGAAAAGAAGGAAAUCAAAAUUGAAUUAGGGCUAAAUGAAAAUUGAAAGGAAAAUUAGGGCAUUAUGUCUUUUACAUACAAGGAUAUUUUAGUAAUUUCAAAAUUGCAUUUCCCUUUUCUUUGUAUCCUA
rnacentral:lncRNA from 1 species